rnacentral:lncRNA from 1 species
UCAAUGGGGAGAGUUGAAGAGACAUGGGGAAAAGAUUGCUUGGAGUUCAAGCCAGAGAGAUGGAUAUCUGAGAGAGGAGGGAUUGUUCAUGAACCAUCAUACAAGUUCAUUAGUUUCAAUGCUGGACCUAGAACUUGUUUGGGAAAGGACUUGUCGUUCAUUCAAAUUAAGAUGGUGGCAGUCGCUAUUUUGUGCAGAUAUCAUAUCCAAGUAGUGAAAGGUCAUAUUCCUACUCCAAAUCUUUCAAUUGUACUUCUGAUGAAGAAUGGUUUGAAGGUUAGGAUAACAAAAAGACAAAACUAUUAAGCGAACACAUUACACUUUAAAUAUCUAUUGUAUCCAAUAAUAUUAAAUAAAUAAAAGUCUUAUAUGCAUAAACUUACAUCAUCAAUUUUAUUUUUUUAUGUUUUAUUACCAACACACACCUAAAUAAAUAUUUUAAAAUGAGAAAAAUAAAGUGCUUUGAUGAUCCAAUCUAGAUAGAAGGUUGAAAAACUGUUCUGCCUCAAGUGUAGCACACAGCACUAAAGCGCACCACUAGUUUCAUCUUCAUCUACAUCCGAUGACCGCCUAUAAUUCUCAUCGACCAAUCUGUGGACAAUUAUUAUAGACUCCUCUAUAUAAGUGUGUUUGUUUACCGUUGUUUUUGGUAAAUCAAAUUAUAAAUUUCAGUUCAUUUACAAGAUUAAAGUCAAAAAAAUCUAGCACAUAUUGUACAUAAAUUUUUAGAAAAUAUGUUUGUGCUUUUAUUAUUGAUGUUUGAAUGUCGGACAUUUUGGACAUAAACUCUAACUGAAAUAAUGCAUAAUUGCUUUGAACAUAAGAAAUAAACAAAAAAUAAUAAAAAUCAUUUAAGUAAAUGUUUCGAAUUUAAAGGAUUAAAAGAAAAAGAUGCAUAUUUUUUCUCUGUGGCUUAGAUAUUUAAGUUAUAUAGAGAAUACUUAAUAAAUUUUGUGACCGUUGUUUACAUGAUUGAAUUCGUCUUAUAUAUUAUUACAAUGUUAACUGUCGAUAACGAUUAUCUUUGCAGAAAAUGACACAUACUCCUUUACACGGGAUUCAUCCUUCUAGUCUGCUUAUACGUGUCUUUAACAUUUGAACUGUUUUGAACUGCUCUUUCAAAUCUCCUAACUGCUUCCUUCGAACCUUGGUGCGUAGCGUUGAAAUGAUUUAGCUACUCAAACUUAUCCUGUGAAUUUAUCUUAUUUCCACUUCUAUCAAAUAUGUCAAAUCACCACAACCCUUUUCGAGAUUCUGGACAUGUUUUGAAGAGAGGGUGAUCCAAAUCUUGUGGAGUUGUUCAUGAGAUUCUUCCAAACCAUUCUUGGUAGGUUUCAAGGUUAUCUAAACAUUGAACUCAAAAAUAGACAGUUAACAAAUGAUAAGCGAGCCAAUUCACCCCUUCAGUCGGAGUUAUCAAAUGUCGAAACCAUAGCUAGGUUAUUUAAUACUUAGCAAUCUCAUACCUUUAUAACACCUCUUUAUUUCAAAAUACUAAAUCAAAAUUCCUAGGCUAACACCUAUCCCCCAAAAAUUCCACUUUCAAUCGUAUGCACAAGAUGGAAAAAAUGUGACAUUUUUAGUAACUGUUCGACACUAUUCAAAGUGGUAUGCGUAUGUCAUAGUCAUCAUGAUAACUUUCACCAAACCAUCACAUCAGUUAACGUGGGUGCGCUUAGUAAUCAUGAUUCUGAUUUCCUAGGACAUCGUGGACCACAAGAUUAAAUCACAAUAGAGAAAUCAUUUAAUUGAUUUUAACUCAGAAAAAUUAAACAUCAUUUGUCCAGAAAAAUAGUGCUCCUACUCUUCCUGGUGAUCAUACCUACAUCCCUGAACCACCAAUGGAGGAAGAAAAUGAAGGUGAGAAAAAUACACAAGAAGGGGGAGGUUGAAUUGUGUAUGCCUAAAAAUCUCUUAUAACUUUUAAUUAUGGAUCAUCGAAUUAUGAACCAAGUUCAAGGUCUGAUACCAGAAUGUGUAUCAGUAGUGAGAAGUUUACUUCCUUUUCUUCAACUCUGUUUCAGAAUCUAAGGUUUCAAGCUCAUAUUCUAAUACAAGUAAGAGGCUGAAUAAGAAUCGAGUCUAGCUUCAUAGAUCAUUUUCACAACGGAAUAUAAAUGUAGAAUUAAAUAAAUAGACACACAAUAUAUCCUGGUUCCUCUCAAACCGAUAGUAGUCCAGUCCCCCUGCACACAAGAGAUUUUAACUAUAAUCAAACUAAUUAUAAUUGCUUAAUCCAGCAGCUCAAGACUUCCUGCUUAAUCACAUAUGAUCGAGACAUCCUGCCUAAACACCCUGUUUAGGACUUCCUUGCCUUAAGCUCAUGCUAAGGACUUCCUUCCCAGUCACCUUGACCAAGACUUCGUGCUCUGUCCACAAGCAAGAGAUUUAAAUGCCUCAACAACUCGUUCAGAACUUUCCUACCUUAAGCUCAUGCUAAAGAGUUUUGCUCAAUCACAUAGAAAGAGAUUUAUUUGCCUAAUUAAACAGAUUAGGACUUUACUUUGAGCACAUCGGCUAGAGUCUUCAUAAUCUCUUAAUCAAUGAGUCAGACACUAACCAUGUGUUCAUCUGAGUGCUUCUUGGAUAAGCAGAUACACAAAGGUUUACACUCUUGAGCAGAAUGUGAGUUGUUUGCUCUUGAGUGUGAAAGAAUAAAAUGGUCGUUCUUCUUCUCAAGAGCAAACAUCUCACAUAUUUUCUCUUAUUGUGCCUUUCUAUUCUGAUGAUCUUCCUCGAUCAUUUUCGCUCUACUCUUACACACUUAACCCUUCUGGUUAUAUUUUUUAUUUAGUGUGUGUUUCUUAAAUCAGAAUCUCUCACUCAACCAAUAUUGUGAACUGGUAUCACAUCUUUGUUAAAACAAUCAUGUAUUCUUCAACUCACAUUCAUCUUGGUCAUAACAACAAUUUGAAUGUUUUCAAUCUUCAUAUAUAAAUAGAUUUUGAGAAUAGAUCAGUUGAAUAUUCAAAGUACCAAAGGUUAAAGUAGACGUUGAAGGUCUUUAGCCGUUGAACAAUAUAGUGAGCCAAAACUCAACUAGCAUUAAGACGACGGAAGAAGAGAGUAGAGUUCAGAGCGGUUGGAGAGAUAAGAUUUUGAUAACAUAACUUAAUGUUUAUUAGACAUAAAGUAUUGUAUCAUUGUCACAUGAUCUUCUUUGGAUAACUUCAGACUUGAAAUCUUCUUGUAGACGUUUGUUGAAGCUUGUUCAUAGUCGCUGCUUAACGUAUACUUAACUUCUUGAUUCAGAGGUUUUUUAUAGAAUUAGUUAAAGCCUGAUCAGAAGUUGAAGUAUGUCUUCAGAAGCUGGUUGGAGUGAGACUUCAGAGUCUAGAGUUCACAAAUUCUGAGGUUGUCUUCAUCAGAGUCUUGAUUAGAACUAGUCUACAUAAACACUUGCAGAGUUGAUGACUUGAUGUAGACAAAUUCAGUUGAAGUAAAUCCUUCAGAAGUGUUGAUUAAGCAUGUUCAGAAGUUGCAGGGUUGUUUCUUGUGAUAGUGACAACUUGCUUCAAACAUUUCCAGUGUUCAGAGCUUUCCUGAUCUCUGUAUUUCACGUAAGCUUAGGUUUAGCAUCUGAAAGACUUGAUUAGGCUCAUAAGAGUCUGGAACUUGGUUCUGAUCCUUUAUAUUGAGAACACUUGUGCUUCCUUUAAUGGUUCUUUUGAGUGAUUAACUUCAUUUAUAUCAAGGUUAAUGUCUUUUGAUCAUGCACACUAAAAUAACCAUCAGUAAACCAUGUUGUUCUUUAAAUACUUUCUUAUCAUCAAAAUAUUUUAGGAGCUUGAACAAAUCUUGUUCUAACAAUCUCCCAUUUUUUUAUGAUGACAAACAAAUAUAUUUAAGAAUAAUGGUUAAUGAUUUAAUUAACACAAUCUAACAUCAGAGGCUGAGGUUUGUAAGCUUCCCCUAAGUUAGACAAUCCAUUAAGGUGUGGUUUGUAAGCUCCCCCUAAGUCUGAUAGUCCAUUAAGACGAGGUUUGUAAGCUCUUCUUAACUCAUUAUUUGUGUUAAUCUAAUCCUAUAAUUUUAAUCAACAAAGUAUAACAUCGGAGUCUAAGGUUUGUAAGUUCCCCCUGAGUUUGACAGGCCUUAGGUUAAGGUUUGUAAGUUCUUCCUUUAGUCUUGACAGUUCAUUAAAGUAAGGUUUGUAAUCUUUUCCUUAAAUCCUUGUCUUUGUUAGAUUAAAAUUAGUCUUUUAAGCUCAAUAGAAAAAAUUACAACAAAAUAAAAAUAACAUAAAAAUUAUAAAUCUGAUGUUAUUUUGGCAAAAACUGCUUUGUUUAAGUUCUAAUGAUUUAUUCUCUUCUUAAAUACUCUAUGAAUUUUCUCCCCCUUUGUUAUUAUCAAAAAGAUUUAAAAAAUAUAUGCAUAUACUAAAUACAAUUAAGCACGCGAACCACAUUUUUCAAGAUGGUCAACCAUAGAUUCCAAGAAACAAGAGGUUCAUAGGCACAAUACUCAAAGAUCAACUACAGUCUUCAAGAUAUAGGAAAUUGGAAACAAACUACUAUAAAAGUAGAAGUAGAACCAACACCAAAGCACAUAGAGCUAGACACUAAAAAAGAAUGAGUAAGAGAAAAUCAUUCAAGGUAGGGAAACAAGAUUCCGAGAAGGAAACCCGCAAGGAGAUGAGGAAAGAGACAACAAACGAAAAGAAGAAGAAGGAGAAGACUAAGGAAUUGGAAAAAGCUCAUAAGAUAACUCCCGCAGAAAGCACAUCUGGUGGAGUUACUGAAGAAAUCAGAGAGCUCCCAUCAGAUGAGGAGUGUGAUGAGGACUAUAUGUCUUUUCUAGAAACUUGCAAGGGAAUAGAGGAUCGGGAAGAUUCAACAUGAAGAUUAUUGUAAUAAUGUUUAUGAACCGAUAUUUGUAAGGUCUUAAUAAUAAAAUUUUCAGUUCUUUCCACCCUUUUUUAAAAGAGAAUAAUGAGUUAUGCUUAAGAGACAGACAGUAAAAUAACACUUUAUAAAUAUACUAAGAUAUAAUAUUUAAAUAGACAACAACCAUUAAGCCUAAGAAGAAGAUCCAUCGGUAGAGACCACUUUGACCUUAAAUGGGUCAACAGUUUUCAAAGCUUCUGUAAACUUCAGCUUAUCUCCCUGGACCUUUCAUUUAACCUCAUUCAUAGUUAUGGCAGCUCCUUGUUGAAUGAAGAGCUCAGAAAGAACUAUUCCUUAAGGAAUAUAACAUGGUUUUCCCUCUUGAAAGGACGAGAGAGUCAUUUUCAGAUACUCAAACAUAACUUGAGGAAGGUUAAUUUUCAGAUCUGAGUUGAGAAGUAACAGAAAGGCUUGUUCAUUAAUAUCCAAAGAAGAUAGAUCGUUGUUCUUUAGAAGGAAGCGUGAAAUCAGAAGUUGAUAGCAAACCAAUGCCUUAAAAUUGAGAUUAGAAACUUUGAAUAAGUCUGAGAGAUCUUCAAAGAUAAGAUGAGGAGAUUUUUUUUCUCAAACAAGCAUAUCCAGAACCACACCUUCUUCCUCAUAAUUUAUUGCAUUAGAAAUAGUUAUAGGAGUGAUGGUGAUAGGAACACCAAAUAUUGUAGAGAGAAUAUCAUAUUCUAGACUUAUGUUCUUGAUUGAAGAAUUUACCCAAAAAUCCUCAAUUAAAUUAGGGUAAAUGGAUCCAUAAAGCAUAUCAAAGAAAUUAUCCCAACCAUUUUGGGAGAAAGUGCUGAAGAUGAAAGCCAAGAGCCAUUGUUUCUUCAAAAACAACUUGUCCUUCAAUGAUAACAACCAAUUGAUUAUUCAUUCCAAAGUUAGAUCUAGAUUCCAUUUUAGAGAGGGAAGAAUGCAAGAAAGAAAAGAAGAAUGCAAAACAUAAGAAAUUUCUAAAGAUAUAGAAAACGAUUUUUCAGAAAGAUUCAAGACAUCAGUCUUUGCUUUAAGUUUGUUCAAAUUUUAUCUUUAGAAAAUAAACAAAUAAACAAGUACAAAGAAAAAGUAAGAUAUGACAAGGAAGAGAGGCCACCGAGAAUCCAAGGAUGUUAAGCAUUACAACUUUAUAGAUUCUGCCUAAAUAGCUUCACAGUUAGCAUAUCAAUUUUCAGACACGUGGAUUUUCAUAAAAAAAAGUUAUAAAUAAUCCUUAUUCUUUUUCUGAGUUUCAAAGUCUGAUGCUUUUCUGAGGCUACAUAUAAUUAGAGUCUGUUUAAGACUUUGAUGAAGCUGAUUCUGAUUAGCAUUAGUCUUUGCUACUCUAUUCUUCCGAAUCAAGCCUUGUUAAAAUUAGAUUAGAAAUCAUUUCUUAGAUAAGAAUUAAGCCUUUAAAAGACACAGGGUAAAAUAAGAAAAAUAACUCAUAAAAGAGUUUACUUGAAUAACAACACUUUUCUGAUCACAACUUUUGAGCCCACAAUACUUAGUUAUGAACAAAGAAUAUGGACAAGGAUACAAAAGAAUAUUUUCCACUUAUUCUAAAAAUUCUUAUGCAGACAUAUUAUCUAGGAUAGUUAUGCAUCAAGAAGACAGACACGUAGACUAAAGUAAAUAAUAUAUCUUUCAUAAAAGUUGUCUAAAUAAAAAGGAGUUUAAACAUACCUUGGAUGUUGCUUCUAAACAUAUUUUGGUUCCAACAAUGUUCUUACUUAUGUGAAUCAGUCUUAAACACUCAUGUUGAUGAACCAGGUCCUCGCUCAACACACUCUUGGAGUAGUACUAGUGACUAUAGUACUUUUUGCUUUUCUCCAGACUUCAACUAUCCUUCCUCUUUCAGAGUUCGAAUAAGAAAUUACGCUUUCCUCUUUAAGAAAAUAUAGUCAUCUGUUGUCCAAACAUUAGGACAAAUGAACUAACACAAUCAUAGCAACAAACAUAAAUUAAGAUAUUGAUAUCCAUAUUCUUAUGAGUCCUUUAGUGUUUGUUACUCUAGGUCUUUUCUCAACGAGUGCCUUUUCCUUAGAGUAAUGUCUAGCCUUUAUCCAGACUUUCUUAUUAAAGUAAUUUUGUCAUGGAUAAGCUUUGACAUUAGCUUCUAAUCAUUUCAUAAGCUCAGAUCCAUAAGUAUUAGAUGCUGAAUUCCCUUGACUUUUUGACUUUUGGAUCAUGGUGUCUCAUUUCAUCAAAACCACUAACUUUGAGAUCCCAGGUACUAACAAUUCUGCAUAAUUUUUGACCUUGAGGUAUCUUGUUCUAUCAUAUCCUUUGACUUCUUUGUUAUUGACUCUGAUGGGUUCAUAACUUUGGUCCCUUAAGUAUCAAACACCAAUAAGUCAUAAGCAUAACUUGAAGGAUAUGGUUUUGAAGGGUUCUUUCAUGUCAAGGUUAUGAAAACCACACAUUUUAUGAAAGCCCAUCUCAUCUCUUUUGCUCUUGGUUACUCCAGAGAUCAUGGGGGCAAGUAGAGUUCUAUUGAGAUCUAAUGUUAAGAUAAAUAAUUGAUCAUAUCUUUAAUAGUUAUUUAAAUUUGCAAAACUACUUGUAUUAAAAUAUUACACAUCACACGAACUACUUGUAUUUUAUUAUUUAAAAUUAUACAUGUAAAAAAGUUAUGAAAUCCAAUGAAAAGAUUAAUAAUUGAUCAUAUCUUUAAUAGUUAUUUAAAUUUGCAAAACUAAAUUUUAUAUAUUAUAAACAUAUACAUUCUUUUUUAUUUGUGAUUAAUUAUUAUAGUUGUUCAAAAGAAAACAUCGACUAUAUUUGUCAAAAUAGAAUCAUAAUAAAUUAUUAUAACAUAAAUGAAUUGAUUAUAGUUAUAAAAAAAUCUUAAAAUAAUUAAAAUUUCAACACAAAAUAAAUAAAAGUUAAUUUGUACUUAUGUAACGCAUUCGUAUCAAUUAUUUUCACAUCAUUAAAAUUUUCAUAUAAAUUCUCAUUAUAAUAUUUUUUAAAUGUAAUUUUAUAAAAUAAAAUUUAAAAUUAUAACAAUACAAAUAUUAAUAGUAUUCUAAAAAAUUUAUCAAAUAAAAUAUAAAAAUAUUGCGUAUCAUACAGGUAGUUACUUGUAUUUUACAAUUUAAAAUUAAAUAUCUAAAAUAAGAACAAGUAUUAAAAAUGUUAAGAGAAUUGUAACAUCCCGAUUUUAUUUUUAUAUCCAACACAUUUAUUCCUUUAAUAAUUUUUUUUAUUUUUUUAAUAAUGUAUUUCAUAUGUAAGUUAUAUUUUAAUUGUUUAUUAUUGCCAAUAUAUUUUAUUUAUUUGUUUCUAUCUCCCUAGUUUUAUUAUUUAUUGUAUAAAUAAUUAUUUUGAUAAAUUAGUAAUACUAAAUUUUAUUGUCUUUAUCUUUAUAUUUGCCGGUUUUUUUAUUUUAUAAACAUAUUUAUUAUAUUUAAUAAUUAAGGUUAAGUAUUAUUAUUAUUAUUAUUAUUAUUAUUAUUAUUAUUAUUAUUAUUAUUAUUAUAUUUGGUAUUUUAAUAAUUUGAUAAAUAUAAUAGCAUAAUAAUAUGAGUAUUUUAAAUAAAUAAUAUUUUAAUGAUGAAAAAGAAAAAUAAAAAAAUAAAAAAAUAUUUAUAUAAUUAGAUUAUGUAUUAUAAAUAACGAAUAUAAGAAAAAGUGAUUAUGAUGAUAGAAUUAAUGGACUAGGCCCAUUUUACUUCUUAUAUGAAUAAAAGAAGAUAAAACAAAUAAAUAAACAUAUCUGUCGUAUUCGUAAAAAAAUGACUUACAAUACAAUGUGUUAUGGUCUGGUAGCCGCACAUAAAUUCCUUGAUGGUUCUUCAACAUCAAGUGUAGAGAUUUCUACUUCGGAAUCAAAUUAACUAUAUAAUAAAAAAAAUCAAUUCAUCCAAUUUUCAGUAUAUUACUUCUACCAAUUAACUAGUUAAGUUUUCACAUUUAUUUUAUUUUUCAGCAAUUCUCCUAUUAUGUAAAAAUUAUCGUUUUUCCAAUUGAUUAAAAUAAUUAUUUUGACCGUAUCUUCAUCAAUGUAACUCUGAUUUGGGCGAUAGCAACGCCAAAAUGAUCAGGUGAAUGUAAGUAAUAUUUUCAUCAAGUUUGAAUUUUGUUUUGGAAUUAUUUUCUUUUACCUAAUUUCAAAAUUGGCAUUUUUAAUGUAUUUUAAUAUUCUAUUUUUUAUAUAUUUAUUCUUAAAUGAUUAAAAACGAAAUGGUUGGAGGAUGAUGAGUCAAGAGAGCAAAAAUUAUGCAUGUGGACUCAAAUUAUAUGUGGAAGCAUGAUAAAGAUAGGAUCUUGCUCGGGGUGAUCUUUAAAUGCGAUUGGAAAGCAAAACGUCUAAAGCAAGGGCACGUCUCCAUACAUAUUAUAACAAAACUAAUAUUUGUUGAAAAUCCACCACAACCUAUGAAGAAUUUCAGUCAAUCUUGAUGAACAAGAUUGUUAUCACCCACACAAUAACAAUGAAAAGAGAAGAACGAUGGAGAAAGAAAAUAAAGAACGAUGAAGGAAAAUAAGAAUAUUUUGUAGAGUUUCUUUCUGUCCAUAACCUGUAGAAAACUUCUUAUUUCCUUUACAACUGCAAAAUUUUAUGAAUAUAAUGUUAUGAAUACAACAUUCACUUCAUUACAAGAAGAAGGGCUACUCCCUCUAUUUAUAGAUUUAUGUUAGUUUUUACCUCAAGCCAAAGCCUAAAACUAUAAAAGUCCAAAAUAAUUAACACUACUCAAAAUAGGCCUAAGUCGAAAUCUUGUGUGAAGCAAUAUGCUUCGACACUUUGACACACUAACACAACUUAACAACCAAGGUGGUUCGAUACUUUUUUGUUUCUGUCGAAUAAUCUGCUUUGACACAAGGAACUAAAAUUCAACAAUAGUUAGGUAUCAUAGAAUAAAAUAAUAUAAUGCAUAAAUUUCAUAAAGAGAAAAGAUAAUUAAAAUACAAUUAUAUUCUAUAUGAAUAAUAGUUUUAUAUAUUGUGGUUUGAGUGUGUUGAUGUGAUGCGGAUGAAACAUUGUGUUGUUUGUGAUAUGUUAUUAUUAUGUGUGGUCGUGAUGUGAAUCAUUUGAAUUAUACGAAUGUGAUAUAGAUGAAACUUUGUCUUGUUUGUGAUUUGUUAUUAUUAUGUGUAUUCGCAAUGUGAGCCACACAGAUUGUGUACGCUAAAAGUAUAUUAAAAAGAUUGAAAUCGAUUAUGUUUGAAGAUGCAUGGUUAUGUGGAAUGAAUGUUAAAAUGAUGUGAUUUAAUAAGAGUUUGUGGGAGGUAUAUGCAUUUCAUGGCAUAUGCACAUCUUGCUUUUGUGGAUGGUUGCCUAUGUGGUUGAUUGCCUAUGUGACGGGUUGCCUUAGUGGUGUGUUGCAUUUCAUCAUCAUUAUGGCAUGGCAUAGCAUAUGCAUUUCUGUGUGGUGGCUUAAUGGAAAAUUAUUUUCUCCAUUGAUAUGGGAUGAAUUACACAUGGUGUCUUAGUGAUGGGUUGAUUAUAUAUGGAUCAUGUAGUUCUAAGAGCAUACAUAUUCAUAUGUAAAGAUAUUGGUAAAAUAAUGAUUUUUAUGAAUUUCUUUUAUCUUAAGUUGUUAUAUUUUGUAUGAUUUAUUUUAUAAUAUUGUAUUGUAUGCUUUGUUUGAUUUGAUGUGGAUGAUGAAAGAUUGACCCCUUACAACCAAUAUUUUAGGUACCAAUGAAUUUGAAGAUAUAAAAUGAAAAUGGUAUGAUGUUAUACGUGGUUGCGUGAAUGAAAAUUGAGUUUUUAACUAGAGUUAGAAAUUAAUUUAAAGUAAAAAAUCAAAUAUUUGAAUUGAUCUUUUAUUUAAGUUUGACGCGAAUUAGAAAUGUGGAGUGAAUUUUUACUCCACUGGGAAAAUGACGAUAUUAAGUUUCAUUUGUAAUGAAUGUUAGAGUUUUUAGAUCUUUCAAUUUGAAAAAAAAAAUAGUCGCAUUUUUUAAAAGUAAAUUUAUAUUAUUAAAGUAAUGUCUUGGAUUAGAAUCUGGGGCGUUACAAGAAUAUUGAUAAUUCAAGCAUUGUAAUUGAUUACUACAGAGGUGUACCCGUUACAAUUAUGUGAAAAAGUAAUUGAAAAGUUCAAAAAAAGAAACUCUCUAAGUUGUAAUUGGUUAUUCAUUCGCAGUAACUGAUUACCAUUAUUAUGAAAUUGUUUUUGUUUCAGCUAUAACUGGUUACAUGUUGUGUAACCGGUUACAAGUAGUUAUUUUUUACUUUUAGCUUAUGUUACUUGUAUCUCAAUCCAACUAUUUUAUGUAUAAAUGUCAAGAGGCAUUCUCAUCUAUUGUUAAUGAAAAUUUAAAUUUUCAUUCUCAAUUAUUCUCUCCAAUUACAAUUCUCUCUAUCUCACUUUCUUUCCCUCUCUACAUUUAAUUUCUCCAUUAUUCAUUACUAUUGUGGUUCCAAGUUCUAACAUUUGGUAUCAAAAGUCUGGUUCUGAUCUACAAACAUCUAGUGUGCAACAUGAAUUAUAUCUUCAAUGAAAUAAUCCCUACAAACCUACCCAUCCUUGAUGAGAAGAAUUACGACAAAUGGUGCAAAAAAAUGAAGAUGUUGUUUGACUACCAAGAUGUUCUUGAAGUGGUAAGAACGGGGUGAAACUGAUUGUCGAAGGUUCAAAAGAUGCACAACGAGAAACAGAUAAGGAAGAUAAGAAGAAAUAUUUCAAGGUGCUAUUUUUGAUCCAUCAAUGUGUAUAUGGUAACAAAUUUGAGAAAAUUAGUGAUUAUGAAUAAUCAAAGCAAGCAUGGGAAAUAUUAGAGAAGACACACGCAUGGACUGACAAGGAGAAGAUGGUGAGUUAAAUGGAGGAAAAGGAGACGAUCAAUGAUUUCACAACGAGAAUCAAUUGAUUAGUGAAUCACGUGAAGGACAAGAGAUCGAAAGGAAAAUGUUCCAUGAAGGGUAAUGGGGAUUUUAAAAAAUUUGGUGGAAGAGGGUCCCAAAGUUCCAAGAAUUCUACUUGUUAAAAGGGUGAGAGAAGUUGCAACAAAAGUGGCAGUAAAGGAAACAUUAGAGGUGAAAGGAAGAAGAUUGACAACAACAAGGUGCAAUGCUUUAAUUGUCAAAGGUUCGGUCAUUUUGCAAAAGAGCGCAAUACGAACAAGAAGGAACCUCAAGGGGAUGAAGUCAAGAUUUCAAGAUAAGAGUUUGAUAAGAAGAAUAUUGUCUUGGUCAUGAUCAUGGAAGGGGAAUGCAGCAGCAACAAGUUGCGGGACAGUAGCAACAACAGUUUUGGAAAUGCUACAAAAAUAUGUUAUAACCGGUUAUGUAAAAGCUGUAACAAGUUACAGGAGGAAGGAAAUGUCAUGAUGAGUACAAAACGUCCAGUUCAGUGCAACAAUGAAUCGAAUUUGGACUUCGGGUGUUCUACUCAUAUGACGGGGAGGAAGGAUUGGUUUGUUAAAAUCAAUUGUGCCAUGAUGAAUAAAUUGAAGUUCGCGGAUGACACUACUCUAGCGGCCGGUGAUGUUUGAUCAUGAGAAGUGAUGGUGAAAAUUCUUUGAUCAAUAUGUAUUGUACAUUCUAGUAAUCAAAUGUAACCUUAUAAGUAUUGGUCAAUUGUUUGAGAAGGGUUACAAGAUUUACAUGGAAAACAAGAGGCUACACGUUAUGGAUGCGGAUGGGGUUUUGGUCCUUAAGUCUCUUAUAGAUGCCAAAAGAACUUUCAAGGUUGAGUUUAAGGUUAUAAACCAUAUGUGUCUUGCUACAGUCGAGAAGAGUGGAUAUGGAACUAUCAUCUUAGGCAUCUCAAUUUUUGAGAUCUCAAAGACUUGCAAAAGAACAUAAUGGCUACAUGGUUGUCAUUGAUCUACAUAACCGCUGAAGUUUGUGAAGAAUGUGUGUAAGCGAAGCAACAUAAGGGUAAAUUCAACAAGGGUGCAGGUUUUAGAACCAAGAAUCACCUUGAAGUGGUGUAUAUGUGUGUGUGUGUGUGUGUGUGUGUGUGUGGAUUGCUGCAAGUUAACUCAAUUGGUGGUAAUAUAUAUUUUGUCACAUUCAUAGACGAUCAUAGUAGAAAGUUAUGGACAUACCUAAUCAAGAGAAACGAUGAGGUAUUCGAAGUGUUUAAGAAGUUCAAGUCCAUGUUUGAGCGGAAAAGCGAUCACAAGAUCAAAAUUCUCAAAAUGGAUGGUGGAGGAGAAUAUGUCUCAAAAUACUUUGAGAGGUUUUGUGAUCAAAAAGGGAUAAUACAUGAGGUUUUACCACCUUAUACACCGCAUUAAAGGUGUAUGUAGAAUAAUCCCCUAGUUUGUUGUGAGAAACCAAGAGUUAAAGUUUUACAAGUUGAAUAAAGAGUUGUACGAUUUGAAACAAGCUCUAAGAGUUUGGAACAAGAGGAUAGAUGAUGUCCUAAAAGAGGUUGGCUUCAAUAAAUGUGUAUCCGAACACGGCGUGUAUGUGAAUAUGGUUACAAGUGAAUGAGUGAUUAUCCUUUGUCUAUAUGUAGAUGACUUGUUGAUAACGGGAAGAGAUGAAAAGUGCAUUUCUAAGUUCAAAAGUAAACUUAUGAAAGAGUUUGGGAUGACCGACCUUUGCCUUAUGACAUACUUUAUUGGCAUUGAGCUCCAUAAGUCCAAAAGGAGACUGUUCAUGCACCAAAGAAGAUAUGCGCUUGAGAUAUUGAAGAAGUUUGAAAUGGAACAUUGUAAUGCUUCCAUAACUCCGUGUGAACCGAGGUUACAAUUGUCUAAGAAUGAGGAUGAGGAAGAUGUUAAUCCAACUCAGUAUAGGAGGUUGAUUUGAUCCUUGUGUUACUUGUUUAAUACGCGAUCGAACUUAGUGUUUAAUAUCGGUAUUGUGAGUAGAUUCAUGGAGAGACUGAAGGUGUCUCACUCGGCAGCAGUCAAGAGGAUCCUAAGAUACGUCAAAGGAUCGAUUAGAUUCAGAAUUCUCUGUUUCACAGCGGACACAGGCAGAAAAUGUAAUUUACUCAGUUUUAGCAAUUCCAAUUGGUGCGGAGAUAAAGAUGAUCAAAAGUCUACAUCUGGAUACAUCUUUAUGUUCGAAAGAACACCAAUCUCAUGGUGUUCGAAGAAGGAACCGAUAGUUUCACAUCUCAUCUUGUGAGACCGAGUAGAUUGUCGCUUCGUUGGGUGUGUUCCAAGCACUGUGGUUAAUGAAUCUAUUGAAGAAGUUGGACAUCAAUGAAGGUGAUAUUGUUAUGCUCCUAGUUGAUAACAUUUUCGUGAUUAAUCUUGCUAAGAACCCAAUUGCACAUGGGAUGAGCAAGCACAUUGAGAUGGAGUUUUACUACUUGAGGAACUUGUUAGUGAAGGAAGGAUGAGAUUGAGAUAUUGUAGAAGUGGAUACCAAGUUGCUGAUUUGUUGAUCAAUGGAGUCACAAUUGAAGUGUUCAAAAGGUUGAAUAUGAACAUGGGCAUGGAAGACUUGGAGCACUUGAAUUAAGGUGUUGUGUUAAAAGAAUAUUGAUAAUUCAAGUGUUGUAACUAGUUACCACGAGGGUGUAACCGAUUACAACCCUGUGAAAAAGUAAUUAAAAAGCUGAAAAAAGGAAUUUCUCGAAGUUGUAACCAGGUUGCACAUUCGCAGUAACCGGUUACCACUAUUAUGAAAUUAUUUUUGUUUCAGCUGUAAUCGAUUAUAGAUUUUGUGUAACCGGUUACAUGUAGUUAUUUUCUAUUUUUAACUUAUGUUACUUGUAUCCCAAUCCAACUAUUUUGUGUAUAAAUGUCAAGGGACGUCCUCAUCUAUUAUUAAUGAAAAUUUAAAUUCACACCCUUAAUUACUCUCUCCAAAUACAAUUCUUUCUCCCUCUCUCCCUCUCAACAUUCAAUUUCUCCAUUAUUCACUGAUCUUAUGGUUCCAAGUUCUAACAAAAAAAUAUUAAAUCGAAUAAAAAAAUUAAAUAAUUAAUCAUAUCUUUAAUAUUGAUUUAAAUUUGCAAAACUAAAUUUUAUAUGGCAAUCUCAAGUUAUAAGCAUAUACAUUCUUUUUUAUUUAAAAUUACUUCUUAAAUUUGUUCAAAAGAAAACAUUGACUAUAUUUAUUAAAAAAUAUAAAAUAAUUAAAAUUCAACAUAGAAUAAAUUAAUAUUAAUUUAUAUAUGAGCAUCGUGUUCGUAUCUAUUAUUUUCAUAUUAUUAAAAAAAAUUAUAUAAACCACCAUUGAUCACAUCUUUAAUAAUUAUUUAAAUUUAAAAAAAUUAAAUCUUAUAUAUCACUCUCAAAUCCAAUUAAAAGCAUAUAUAUAUAUAUAUCCCUUUUAUUUAUGAUUAAUUUUUACCGUUGUUAAAAAAUCGAUUGUGUUUGUAAAAAAAAUCAUAUUUAAUUAUUAUAAUAUAAAAUAUAUCGACUAUAAUUAUAAAAAAAAAGUUUAAAAUAAUUAAAACUCAACCUAAAAUAAACAUGAAAUAAACAUAUGCGCGGGUUAGCUACAAUCUAGUGUAUUAUUAUAAUUCAAAUGGAAUAUUUUAUGGACUCAGCUCACCCACCUAUGUGUAUGGCUUAGCUUAUGGUUACGUUACAUCUACAUCCAUCUUUUAUUAUUCAACAACUAAACAAAUCUGUAUUUUGUUGUUUGUUAAGUAGCAUACACAAGAUGGUGUAAAGAUAAUGUUUGCUAUCUUCCAUUAUUAUCAACCAAAUGAUUGAUCGAGUUAGAGACAAUAUUGGUAAGAUUUACACAAGAUAUUUUAUAAAGUUUGAAUUGUCAUAGAAGCGUUGAUGAGGUCAUGGUCUACUCGUUGAAUCUCAUCAAACCGCAACUAGCUUAACUCAGCCAUGAGAAACUACUAUGGAUAUCAAAUCACUACUAUAAAUAACAUAUAUCACCUAAUAUCUAUAAAUAACAUAUGUCACCUUAUAUGUGAAAUGACUUUUAUUUCAAUUACACUGCUGAGAUAACGAAUGACGACAUGAAAACUGACCAUUUUACCUAUCGAUUUUGGAAGAAACGAGGUGAUGAUUGAUAUGGUAAUUGAUUUCAUUCUUAUCAACAUCAUUUUUUUAUUUUUUUUAAAAGCUAUGAAUCGGCGCCACUUUACCUCUCGGUUUUAUCUAAUAUCUGAGAUAAUAAAUUAUGUUGGUACGUCGGUUUUAAUUAAUAAUCGAAAAGUUAAAUCUUAUCUAUUGUCAUAAUUUGUUUUAAAUCUCAUUUUGACUAACAUGUAUCAUUUUUUUAAAAAAAACUACAAAAUAUUGAUAUAACCAAAAUCAUAUCAUUUAAUGUACAAAUUUACAUUUUUUAAAUUGACAUAAUAUCAAAUUUACAUGAUUUUCAAAAUCAAAUGUACAAAUUUACAUUUUUCUCAUCAACACAUAAUAUAAAAUUUACAUAUUUGCACAUAAAAAUUAUAAUAUAUAUAUAUAUAUAUAUAUAUAUAUAUAUAUAUAUAUAUAUAGAUUAUAACAACUAAGAAAAACUAUUGUUACUAAGAUUCAUAACAAAAUAAGAAGACAUCGGUCCAACGUGAUUAGAUGUUUAUCUUCUUGUGAGAAUGGUGAUAUGUCGCUAAACUCCUAUAAUUAGAAUAAAAUUUAAAUUAUGAUAAACUAACAACAACAACAUUAGCUUAAGAAAUAUACAUAAAUUACAUGUAUAUGGAUUAAGCUAAUAUCUUAAGCUUAGUUCAUCCAUUUGUAAUGCCUCCGAAGAUAAUAUCAAACAUUUGUCGCAUAACAUAGUAUCCACAUGAAUAACUGUCGGGUUGUUUUCGCAACUACAAAUAAUUUUUAUGUAUUUAUAUCACAAAUACACACAAAUAAAAGAAUGUCAAAAAGCACAAGUAAUAUACUUAUUUUUUGGUAAUUAAACUUUAGUUUUCUACCAUGCACAUUAUAUUUGAUUGCAUUGUAUCCUUCUAUCGCUCUACACAUGUCGGUUAAAAUUAAACAUGAAUAAAAACUAUUCAAAGUUAAAGAUAAAAUGUGAGUAUUAAAAAUAAUAUCACUUAUCCACUCAGAGUGUUAAUCAUAACUUCAUUAAGGUCUUUGUGCAACGAGCAAAACAUAUCUACAAAAAAUUUCUUCAGACAUAUAAUAAUUAGUUGUCAAUGGUUAUGCAUAAACACUCUGAAUAAUUAAUAAUAUGUAUAAAAUUGAUUUAUAAAAGAAAACACAAAUUAAUAUAUACUUACGCGUGGUAAAACGGGGCCAAAUAACAUUCUUUAUUCUAUUUCAACAACUUCUCUUGUAAAUAAAUUGUCAUAUUGUUUGCUACCGUACCACCAUGAAGGCUAAUGUGCCCUGGAUCUAUGAAAAAAAUACUUUCUUAAAUUCCUUUCAACACGCAUCUCAUGCAAGAACUCGCAAACGUCAAACUUUUAUGUUAAAGUACGAAGACGUAUGAAUAUAAAUAGAAAUAAAAAAAAAAUUAUACUUACGAGCACCACAAUUGUAAUAUGGUAUUGUCUAGUUAUUCAUCUGCCUUCAAAAAUUCCAUAAUAGAAGUCUUAUAAAGUUCGUAAAAUUGAUUUGGAUUAUGACUUAAUUUAAUAUUCUCACGGAUGUCUGGAAUACUAUCUAAUAUCAUUGAAAGUCUCUUAGUGUUAUCUAGUUGUGGUGGUAUGGUUUCAAUACUGUCCUAGUGGGCAAAACAACUUUAUUUCAUGCUUGUACCACCUAUAACUUUAUCAUGAAUGUAAAAUUGAACAUCUGAAAUUGUUUGGUUGAGUAGAUCCAAUGAAUUCAAUUUCUGCAUCAUAAAAAUAACAGAAAUACAAUUAAAAAAAUUAAAAUACGCAAACAAUACAAAACACCAACAUACAACAUAUUUUUUUAACUUAUACGUAUACCUCAAGCCCAUCACGGAUACAUUUCUCGGACAUCUUCUCAAGCUCUUCCUCAUUCGACUUCUUUCACUCCUCCUUGACCAACCUCUCUCUCUCCUCAUACUCCUUCUGGAUACUCUCUCACACCUGCUGCAACAAACUCUCUCUCUCCCCCUAAAUCCACUUCUCCUUUACCCCCUCACCUUUACCGCAACUAUCUCUUCAAUCUCUCUCCUACGGUUUACUUUUCUAGAUGAUUUAGAUGGUCCAAAAUAUGACUUGAAGUUAAUGCCUCUUCCGAAACCACGGACAUGUCAAGGAUGCUCCUCGAUUUCAAUUGCUUCUACCAAGAUGUCAUGACGAUCUUGUGGAAUGAAGAGGUCGAAUUUGGAUUGUUCAACUAAUACAUCCUACAUCACAUAUAAAAUUUUAUCUUUACCAAAUUAAUUUAACUAAAAUAAAUAUUGUUGAAAAAAGUAUCUACUUACAAUCUUUUCACCCACUCGCGUGUAGCCUCUGAUGUGAACUCGCCGCCUUUUCUUUGACGUGCCAUCUUCCAUUUCUCAUGGCGUGAUGAUGGAGAUAGAGUAUGGUCAAGGCUUAUAAAAUAUCUCAGUUCCAAUUCCCUUUGUUUUCUUUUUUCAUCAAUCAUCUUAUUUUCAAGUUUUUCAUAUCCUCCAUGAGACAAGAAGUCAGGAGUGGUGCGAGACUUUAAAAAUUUCUCUCAAACAUCCUGAUCAAUAAAUGAAUACAACAAGUAUGGAGGCUUAGCUUGAUAACUUGCAUGAUUAAUAUAAACACAAGUGAGUUGUGUCUUAAAGCCACUUCAAUGCUCACCGGCAUAUGUAAGAAAUUUCUUUUUCACCAUAUUAUCCUUUGGACGAACAAUAAACACCUCAUAUGUUUACAUAAUACAGUUGUUAUUAUAUUAAACAAAAAAUAAAUGAUCAUAUAUACUUGUAAAACAAAUCAUAAAAUUCAAAAUAAAUACCGUAAUAUCGUCCAAAUGUUGUUUUUCAAUUCUUCAUCAAUGUCGUGUCAGUUAUCUAUCAAAAUACUCAUUUUACUUCUACCUUGUAACGCAAUGUAACCCAUAAAAUCCUCAACAUGUUCACCAUAAGCCCUGCCGGUUGCAACAUCAACUGUAACUGGGUAGGGAACAUCGUUUUCGUGGGCUUUUUCACAUUAGUUCACAUCGUGGCACCUCUAGUUUUUCUUUUACGUUUUGUAUUAACAUAGGUUAUAACAAAUUUAGUAUGGAAGGUGUUUGUCGAAUCGGCCAUGACUAUCUAAAUAAAGAAAAAUAACAGAUACACUAAUGUGAAUCAAACAACACGUGAAAACAUACUAACUAACAUCGUAUUAGUGAUAAACAACACGUAGAAACAUACUAACUAACAAUAUUUCAGUGAAAAAUAAAUGCAAGUCUCACUCAUAGAAGACAUUGGUUUAAUAGGUGUCGAAACAAAUGAUCAAAAUAGAAAAACAAAUGAUCAAAAGAAACUAUGGUACUUUUCGGUGGUACUAAAGUCAUUUCAGUGAUAUAAACCUCUAACGUGAAAAACAAGAACAAACGUACCUCAAGCGUAAAAUAGAUGACUUUUGAUGUUCGAGUGUUAAUGAAUAUCGCCUACUUUUUGAAGAGUUUUGAUGAGAGUGACGAUGAAAAUUACCUAUGGUUUUUGCGAAGAGGAUGACAAUAUGAAGUUAGAGCGUUGAUAGGUAAAUAAAAAGUUAUAGUCUAGUUCUCUGAAGUAUUUGAUGCAAAAGAGGAAUCAAGUCGGUUUUCCAUAAAAACCGACGUGUAUGUAUUAAUUAAAAAUAUUUAAAAAAUCACCACGGCGCCAUAUUCUGGAAAUACAUUUAAAAUAUCUAUCAUAUCGGUUUUUGAGAAAACCCGAGGGAUUUGGAUAUGUAAAAUAAAAAAUUAAAAAGGUCUUUUGAAAAAAUUGAUUUGAAAAUACUAAUGAAAAAUAUAUUACCUCUCAUUUGUACCAUAUAGUUGAGGUUAAUACUAAUAAAAAGUGAAGAAAAAUAUUAACAAAGAAAUAAGGGAAGCUGAAAAGGCUUCAAUUGAGAAAUACUAAUUAAAUCAUUGAAAAAAAAGAAGAUAAAAUGCAGUAACAGGGAUUCGAAGUGAGCUCUCUAUCGCUAUGCGAAAAACUGACUGACCGACACAAAGUCGCCACCGGAUUUUAUUUAUUCCAAGAAAAGAGAAAAGUAAUCGAUAAAACCCUCUAAAGAAAAAGAAAAUUGGUCUCGUAACCAAAUUAGGAUUUGGAAGUCGGUAAUGCGAGGGGAAGACAUUAGCACCCCUCACAUCCAUCGUACUCGAUGAGAACCAUCUAAGUUAUCUAUGUGAAAUAGGUAUUUAUCUAUCUUAAUGCUUACUUACUAUCGGAGAAAAGGGGGAAAUGAUUGGUUUUUUAUUAUUGUGCUCGCCAAAGAUUGGGACCCUUGUGCCUACGUAUCAUCAUCGUGGGAUGAAGAAUCAGAGCUCCGUAGUUUAAAGUAGAAAAUGAUUGUUUGUUGGUUGAUUUUACCUUGAAAAAAGGGUUUUCGGAGUGAUGCCCAAAUGCGCAAAAAUGAGUUUGAUGAGUUGAUAUUGAUUUUAAGUUUUUGAAAAGAGAUGGUUUUUAUUAGAAUUGCACUAAAGACUAUAGGCAGUGGCGAAUAUUUCAAACAAACAAGGCAAACGUCUUGUGUCCAAAAUAUUCAGAGCAAGGGUAGGAAAGCUCAAUUCUUACUCAUUCUCUACCACUUAAGGCUUGUGACGUGUAAUUCUAUUCGCAUGUUUUAUUGUGUUUUGAAUUUAAUUGAGAAAAAUGUCGUUUGAUGUUGGAUUAAUGGUUUAUUGUUUAUUAUUUUGAAACAGUGAGGUUGAUCUAAUUCCUAAGAGUUCAAAAGGAAAACAAAGGAAAAGAAAAUUACAACCAAAUGAGGGAUACAUGGAAAAUUACAAGGGGGGGGGGGGGGAUAAUAUGANGGGAUAAUAUGAUAAAGGGGGUUCAUUGUAAGGUAGCCAAAGAGAUAGCCUUGUGUGUGUAAAAUGGUCUAAGCUAACAAGUGGAUAAUGGGCUUAAGAACAUGUCUCCCUAGGGUAGUAUCAUGAAUUUCAUUCUUGCAAUAAAAGAUUACAAGUCCAAAGAAACUCUAAGUCAAAUAAUAAGUCAAAUACAAUAAUCCAAGGUCCAAAUGCAAAGUCCCUAAUAAGUCCUCUAAAUCUAACAUUAGUUUAUAAAAGAUACAUCUUUUUAGUCUUUUCAUUUUAAUACGUUUUUUAUAAUUUUUUAUUAUGAAAAGUGAUAAGGAAACAAAAAAAAUGGCACGAAGUAAAUGAUACAUGGGGUGAAUGGACGAUAAUGGACAUAAAUAUAAAGGGCUUGAAAUAAAAUGAACAAUGAAAAUAAACUGCGGAAAGUAAAUUGCGAGAAUUUAAAUGGCGAAGAAAUAAAGUGCAAUAAUAUAAAAGUUAUGAGUUAAUAGUUAGUGACAAAGUUAAAAAAGGUCUCGUCUAUCAUCAAGAGAUUCAAAAAUAUGAUCAACCAAGGGAAACCUAUCAACACCUCAAAGUGUCAAGAAUGAUCCAUUGAUCAUUCAUCAACAUGUUUAAAAUAUUGAAGAUUCAAUCAACCUUGGGAUCAUUAAUUAAUGAUAUUAAAGAUCUCAUCAACCAAAUGAUCAUAAUAAAGGGUAAAUAAUCUAAAAUAAACAAUAAAUGAUAAUAAUAAUAAUAAUAAUAAUAAUAAUAAAGAAAAUACACCAAAUAAAAUUUAGUUAAGGUGUGAAAAGAAAAGAAAAGAAAAGAAAAGAAAAGAAAUGUGAUUAAAAAUGAUAAUUGCAAAAUAAUAAGAACAAAAAUCCCCAAAGAGAGUGCAAACCAAACAAAAUCACUUGUCUCAAACUUGAUUCAAAUCCUUAUAAAAAAACCUAUGAAUAAACACCCAUUUUCAAUAAAAAAACAGAACCAAAAUGCUAAUGAGUUUGAGCUACAAUCAUUACCAAAUGUGUGAUGUGAAAACUAAGUUGUUGUGGUGUUGAGUUUAAAUCUGAAGCAAGGGGUUUGGAAGAGGGUGGUUAUGGUUGAAACUUAAUGAAAGAGGUUAAGCUGUGAGUGUAGAAAAUGGAAGGAUUAGGGGAAAAUAAAAUGUGAAGAAAGUUGUGGGUGGUUGUUUGAGAAAGGAUGAUUGUAUGAGUUUGGGUUUAGGUUUUUAUAGAGAGUUUGAGUAUGUUUCGAUAGAAUUUCUAGGGGUUGCUAGCUUGUGAAAAUGAGGGGGAAAUAGUGUUUCAUUUAUAGGGAAAUCAUGUGGAUAGGUGUACGUAAAAAGGAAUCACUUUGUGCUAUAUAAGUAAUACUUAGAGACUUGAAGAAAACGCUAGUGACACAAUAUUUUGACAAGUCUAUUUCUUUGUGAAAAGUUAUCAUCUGUUUGUACAGAGUUAUUCUUUAAGUGUUUGUUUAUCCAUUUGUGUAAAAUUUGCUUGUAUAGAAGCAUCUUGUAACACACAAAAUUUUAUUCAAACUAUUUGAUUGAUUCCUUAAGGAGGUUAUUCUGGAGAAGACAAAGAUGGUUGUUCUUUGUGAGUCCUUAAGAAGACUAGGGUAUAGUUGGAUCCUUGAGAAGACAAAGAAGGUUAUUCUUUGUGAUUAUUGUAAUUUGUUAAUUAUAGUGGAUUAAGUCCUUAUGUAUAAGGUAAAAUCACCUUGGUGGAUGGACUGAAGUAGCUUUGAGUUUCAAGCGAACCAGGAUAAAAAUACUUGUUUUUUAUCUCUUUGUUAUUAGCUUGUUAGUGGUGUGUUCUUGUUUUGGAAAAAGAUUUUGCUUGUAAAACCCAAUUCAAACCCCAAUUUCUUAUGUUUUUCUCACCUUCAAUUGGCAUUAGAGCUCCAGUUCUGAUUGAGAUAAAAGUUUUAUCAAUAGCUCAUUGUGUUCAGUAUCGAUCCAGUUUGUUUGAGAAACAAUGGCCACUGCUAACAUUGUUAAUAAUAAUUAAAGAGAUCACUACAAUGCAAAACCACCCAUCUUUGAUGGUGAGAAAUUCGACUAUUGGAAAGAUAGAAUAGAAAGUUUAUUUCUUGGUUAUGAUGUUGAUCUCUGGGAUCUUAUAGUCGAUGGCUACGUUCACCUAGUGAAUGCUGAAAGAAAUAUUAUAACAAGAAGUGUUAUGACUAAUCAACAGAACAAAGAUUUCAAGAAUCAUCAUAAUGCCAGAACCAUAUUGCUUAAUGUUAUCUCUUAUGCGGAGUAUGAGAAGAUAACAAACAGAGAUUCUGCCAAAUCCAUUUUUGACUCUCUGAGGAUGAAUCGUGAGGGGAAUGCUCAAGUAAAGGAGACAAACGCCUUAGCCUUAAUCCAGAAGUACGAGGCAUUCAAAAUGGAAGAUGAUGAAACAAUUAAGACUGUGUUCUCAAGGUUUCAGAUGCUUGUUGUAGGACUGAAAGUUCUGGAUAAAGGAUACUCUACAACUGACCAUGUCAAGAAGAUUAUCAGAAGUCUUCCCAAAAAAUGGAUACCUAUGGUAACUGCCUUGAAGUUGGCAAAGGAUCUCAAUAGUAUCAGUCUUGAAGAACUUGUUAGUUCUUUAAGAAGCCAUGAGAUUGAGCUCAAAGAAGAUGAACCUCAGAAGAGAUGUAAAUAUGUUGCCCUAAAGUCAAAUCCUGAGAAGACAAGAGCAUAUCAAGCUGAGGAAGAAUCAGAAGGAUUUGAUGAAGACUCGGAAGAUGAUGAUGAGUUGUCUCUAAUUUCAAAAAGAGUCAACAAACUCUGGAAGCACGAGCAAAAUGGUAAAGGAAAGUUCAAAGGAGCCAGAAGGACUUCUAGUCAUUUUGAUUCUUCGUAUGGACAUAAGAAGCAAGGCUUUGGAAAAGAAGUUAUCUGCUUCGAGUGCAAGGAGCCAGGUCACUAAAAAAAUGACUGUCUUAAGCUGAAAAAAGACAGAAGGCCUAACAAGAAUUUUUCCAAAGGCAAGAAGGGGUUGAUGGCCACAUGGGAUGACUCAUAAUCUGAAGAAGAAGAUUAUGACGAUGAAAAAGUCAAUGUUACACUGAUGGCAACUACAGAUAAUCCCACAGGUUCUGAAGAACCAGAAGACAAGGUAUUAUCAGAAUCAAAAUCUGACUCUAAUUCAUAAUAGGUAUUUUCUAACCUAUCUCGUUCUGAUAUUGAGUCAUGUCUCUCUGAAAUGAUGGAAAAGUACCAGAGUCUUCAAAGUAAAUACAAGGACCUUAAACAAGUCCAAGUAGCUACCUCUGAAACUCGGAGUGAGCUUGAGAAAUAUAUUUCCUCUCUAAAUGAAAAAGUAUUUUCUUUAUAAAGUAACAAUUAUGCUUUGAAAAGCCAAAUUUUAAAACUAGAGGAGGAAAUGAUUUCAGAAGCUUUUUGUAAUGAUUGUGUCAUUAGAUAUGAUAGAGCAUUCCAGUACUUUCUAGCUAAAAGAAUAGAUAGAAGCAAAAUGACUUCCUUGAUCUAUGGAGUUAGCAGAAAUGGCAAGAAAGGUUUAGAUUGUACAUAAACUAUAAAAUCUGACGAAAGUCAGAAGGUAAAACCAAAACCUCUCUAUGUGCAUUUUGUGCCCGUUGGCACUGAGCUUGAUAUUUCUGCACAGACAUAGAACAUACAAAGGAUAAGAACUCAGUUCUGAAACCUAAGUAUCAUGCACAAAUUCCCCAUGAUUAUCCUUCUGCUAAAAGGCCCAAAGUUGUAAGAAGCUCUGAGAAAACUAACAAGAGAGGACCCAGAAAGUGGGUACCUAAGGAUAAAAUAAUUUAUGUUACAAAUAUCCUUAGUAGCUCAGCUGAAACACCAGUUAUGGUACCUGGACAGUGGAUGCUCGUGACACAUGAUGGGAAGAAGGUUUAUGUUCCAAGAUUUGGAACUUAAGCCUGGAGGCUUCGUUGGUUUCGGAGGAAACCAGAAAGGAAAGAUCAUUGGCUCUGGAACUAUUGGUAACAGUAAACUUCCUUCUAUUACUAAUGUUUUUUUAGUUGAUGGUCUGAUGCAUAACCUUUUGUCUAUUAGUAAACUUAGUGACAAUGGUUAUGAUAUCAUUUUUAAUCAAAAUUCUUAUAAGGCUGUCAGUCAAAAAGAUGGUACAAUCCUUUUUAACGGAAAGAGAAAGAACAACAUUUAUAAAAUUAGACUUUCUGAUCUUGAAGGUCAAAAUGUAGAAUGUCUAAUGUCUGUUAAUGAGGAGUAAUGGGUAUGGCAUAGACGUUUGGGCCGUGUUAGCAUAAGAAGGAUUUCUCAACUAAAUAAGCUUGGAUUAGUCAGAGGUCUACCCAACCUGAAGUUUGCUUCAGAUUCUCUUUGUGAAGCAUGUCAGAAAGGCAAGUUUUCUAAAACAUCCUUCAAAGUGAAAAUUGUUGUUUCUACCUCUAGACAGUUAGAACUUCUGCAUAUUGAUUUGUUUAGACCAGUGAAAACUUUCUCUAUCAAUGGAAAGAAGUAUGGAUUGGUCAUAAUUGAUGACUACAAUCGUUGGACAUGGGUAAAACUCUUGAAACACAAAGAUGAGUCACACUCUGUGUUUUCUACCUUCUGCUCACUGGUGCAAAUAGAAAUGAACUUCAAAAUAGUCAAAGUGAGAAGUGAUCAUGGUGGCAAAUUUGAAAAUAAACAUUUCAAAAAUCUUUUUAAUUCAAAUGGUAUUCUCCGUGAUUUCUCCUGUCCUAGAACUCCACAGUAAAAUGGAGUUGUAGAAAGAAAGAAUAGGACUUUGCAAGAAAUGGCUCGUACCAUGAUCCAAGAAACUGGUAUGGCUAAGAAUUUUUGGGCAGAAGAAGUUAACACAACUUGUUAUAUUCAUAAUAGGAUUUCUAUCAGACCUAUUCUGGGUAAGACUCCUUAUGAAUUGUGGAAAAACAAAAAGCCCAGCAUUUCUUACUUUCACCCUUUUAGAUGUGAAUGUUUUGUGUUAAACACUAAAGAGAAUCUUGGCAAGUUUGAUUCUAAAUCACAAAAGUGUUUAUUGUUAGGAUAUUCUGAACACUCUAAAGGCUAUAGAAUAUUUAACACAAAAACACGAACUAUUGAGGAAUCAAUUCAUGUUAGAUUCAAUGAUAAGCUUAACCCUGAAAAUUCAAAGCUAGUUGAGAAACUUGUAGAUCUGAAGAUCAAUCUUUCAGAAUCCAAGGAUACUAAUUUUGAAGAAAAAGACUCAGAAGGAAAAGCUAAGAAUAUGAAGAAACAACUCAACCAGAAGCUAUCGUUGAUCCAACUCAUCAGAAGAAGAGUAGACCAAGAACCUCUCUUUCUGAAGAACUGAUUUUGGGAGAUAAAAAUGCUUCAGUCAGAAUAAUAUCUUGAUUCAAACCUGCUAAGAGACUCUUCUAGGUUUGGUAUCUCUGAUAGAACCCACAUCUAUUGAUGAAGCUCUUUUGGAUAAUUAAUGGAUGAUGGCUAUGCAAGAAGAACUGAAUCAAUUUACCAGAAACAGUGUUUGGGAUCUUGUUCAUAAACCAAAGGGCUUCCAUGUCAUUGAAACCAGAUGGGUCUUCAGAAACGAGCUAAAUGAGAAAGGCGAGGUUGUCAGAAAUAAGGCUCAACUGGUAACACAAGGUUGUAGUCAACAAGAAGGUAUAGACUAUACAUAAACCAUUGCUCCAGUUGCCAGGUUAGAGUCUAUCCGUCUUUUAAUUUCAUUUGCAGUCAAUCAUAACAUAAUCCUUUAUCAGAUGGAUGUUAAGAGUGAAUUCUCAAAUAGAUAUAUUUCUGGAGAAGUAUAUGUGCGUCAACCUUCUGGUUUUGAAAGUUCUCAAAAUCCUGACUUUAUCUUUAAACUGAAAAAAUUGUUAUAUGGUCUAAAGCAAGCUCUCAGAGCUUGGUAUGAUAGACUAAGUAACUUCCUUUUAGAAAAUAGUUUUACCAUAGGGAAAGUGGACAUAACUCUCUUUUGUAAAACCUUUAAGAAUGAUAUUCUGGUUGUGCAAAUUUAUGUUGAUGAUAUUAUUUUUGGUUCUGCUAAUGCGUCAUUGUGUAAGGAUUUUUCUAAGUCAAUGCAGGCAGAAUUCGAAAUGAGUAUAAUGGGAGAACUCAAGUUCUUUCUGGGAAUCUAGAUUGAUCAACACUCAGAAGGAACGUACAUUCAUCAUAGCAAAUAUACAAAGGAACUUCUAAAGAAGUUUACCUUAUCAGAAUGUAAGCAAACAAAGACUCCAAUGCAUCUUACAUGUAUUUUGGAGAAAGAAGAGGUAAGCAGUAAGGUAAAUCAGAAGCUUUUAAGAGGUAUGAUAUGUUCUCUUUUAUAUCUAACCGCUUCUAGACCUGAUAUCUUAUUUAGUGUCUGCUUAUGUGCUCGCUUCCAAUCAGAUCCUAGGGAAACUCACUUAAUUGUUCUUAAGAGAAUCUUUAGGUAUCUGAAAGGUACUAUAAAUCUUUGUUUCUCUGAAUCUUUAGGUAUCUGAAAGGUACUAUUAAUCAGGAUUACAUAAUGGAAGAAGUUGUUGCUCAUAUUGUUGUUUCUAAAACUCAACAAGUUGGAGUUUUUGUUUCUCAAUCUUUUGCUGGAACUUCAUCGGGAGAAAUUCAUGUUGAACUUUUGAAGACCAUUGAGGAAAUCAAUGUUGUUAAUGCGUUGGUCAAAUAACGCCUGGACAAACAGGACUUGAUGUUUCAACUAAUUCUAUCCAGACUUCCUCCGCCUCCUCCUCAUAACCCCUAACACCUUUUUUAAACUCCAGUUGUAUCUUCUCUUCCUUUUUUGGCUUAUCAAUAAAAAUAUCUUUGUUUCUCUUUAUUUAUUUUAUUAUUUUGUCUAUGCAUUUUUAAUUGAUGACAAAGGGGAAGAAAGAUAUCUAAGGGGAAGAUUCGUAGUUAUUUUGAUAUGCCUAAAUUCCUUAAGUAAGAACCCAAACAUUAAAUAAUGUUUUCUACUAACAACUCUUUGAAGAAUAGUUUGUUAAAUGAUUUGCAGGGUUUUAUUUCAAGAAUCAGAAUGGUUAUAAUCAAACAUCAAAAGUUCUUAUGAAGUUUCAAAGAUCAGAAUAUAAGUUACCAGUUUCUGAUGAAAUGGUCCUUUAUCUGAGUAUGUACAACCUUCAUGCUAAUGAUUGAGAAUUAGAUCCAAGGAACUAAUGUUCUGAACCUAGAACAUUUAGUACUUGGCAUCAAAGUACUUCUGAAAGUUCUUUCUGAAAACAGUGGCAUUGGAAUCCAACUAUUAGGAAGAGUUUCCUCUAUAGUAAUCAUACUUGAAAGUCAAGUUUUUUUAAAGAAGAUAACCAGCUCUAAAGCAUCUUCAAAAUAACUCAACAAAGCUUCUGAAGUGAAGCUUAUCAAAAUGUCGAUGUUAACAAACCAAUGCUCUGGACAACAUCAAUCAACUUCUGAAGAUAAACUAAAUCUUGACUGAAAAAUUACUCUGGUACUUCAAAAAGGUUAAUCAGGAAAGUAGUUUUUCAUUCUGAUUUUAUCUUUGUAGGAUUAUACAUCUCAGAGGGAGCUUUGUGCUUCUGUAAAAUGUAUUCUUUAGUGAUCACCAUGUACAAAACUAUUCAUCAAAAUACAUGUUUUGUCAUCAUCAAAAAGGGGGGAUUGUUAGAACAAGAUUUGGUUUUGCAUCUAUACCUUGAGUUUUGAUGAUAACAAUAUUGUAUUUAUGUGAGAACAAUUUUGGUACCCUAAUGGUUUGUUAUGGUGUAGCUUUAACAACAAGUUCUGAUUGUGAAUAUAUGACAUGCAACGUCAUCCGUUUCUGAAUAAUGUGUUCCAAAUCCGCUUAUGCGCCAACUAUUAGAAGUUCUGAAAGAUGUUCAAUAUUACUGCUGCAAUGAUCUUUUUGCUUCUGUGUUGAUUCACUCAUGAGAAGCUUUUGAGGAGACACUAUGUUACUACUGCAAUAUUUUCUCAGUUCAUGCUUCUGGACGUGACUCUGGUCACCAAACUUCUGAGGAAUUGCAAGCUUCUGAAUUUGUGUUAUAUAGCUAAAGAUUCUGAAGAUCUCGAGCCAAACGAUUGAAGUUAUCAAGGUUCUGACUAAAGAUUAUGAAGACUCGAAAGAUUCUGAAGAUAUUGAAGAUCUCAAGCCAAACUACUGACUUUGUCAAGGUUCUGACCAAAGAUUCUGAAGUUUCUGAAUCCAGCUUUAUGUUUCUUCAUUUCAUGCUUCAUUCACUUUCAUCAGAAGCCAGUGAACUUAGAGAUAAGAUCAAAUGGGAAUGUGAUCAAAUAGUACAUAGUACAAAUCAAACGUCCUUUCCACUACCUGAUUUUGUGGGAAAGGAAAGUAUUAUACAUCACAUCUCUCACUGAUUUUGUGGGUAUAGGACAAUACACAAUAUCACUCCUCUCCCAUCCAACAGUGGACAGCCGCUCUAUGAGCUUUUACCUUUCUGGCCUCCAACAGUCUUCUUCUUAUGCUAUAUAAGUGAGACUUGGAGACUUAAACAAACGUCGGUGACACAAUAUUUUGACAAGUCUAUUUCUUUGUGAAAAUAUAUCAUUUGUUUGUACACGGUUUUUUUAAGUGUUUGUUUAUUCAUUUGUGUAAAAUCUUCUUGUAUAGAAGUAUCUUGUAACACAUAAAAUUUUAUUCAAACUGUUUGUUUGAUUCCUUGAGGAGGUUAUCCUUGAGAAGAUAAAUAAGGUUGUUCUUUGUGAGUCCUUAAGGAGACUAGAGUAUAGUUGGAUCCUUGAGAAGACAAAGAAGGUUAUUCUUUGUGAUUAUUGUAAUAUGUUAAUUAUAGUGUAUUAAGUCCUUGUGUAUAAGGCAAAAUCACCUUGGCGGGUGGAAUGGAGUAACUUUGAGUUUCAAGCGAACCAGGAUAAAAAUACUUGUGUUUUGAUCUCUUUGUUAUUAACUUGUUAGUGACGUGUUCUUGGUUUGGAAAAAGAUUUUGCUUGUAAAACCCAAUUCAAACCCCCAUUUUCUUGUGUUUUUCAUACCUUUAGAAAGAUGGAAAUUUUUCAUACAAAAGGUAGUGAGAGUCCCUAUCAACAACUAGGAAGAUUUGAAUUUCUCAUGCAAAAGCCAGUGAGAACUCCUUAACAAAAGGUCAAUAAGAAAGAUGAAUGAUUUCUCAAUACAAAAGGUAAUGAGAAUCCCUAGCAACGGCUGGGGAGAUUUGAGUUUCCUCAUGCAAAAGGCAGUGAGAUUUCCUAGCAACGGCUGGAAGGAUUUGAAUUUCUCAUGCAAAAGACAGUGAGAACUCCUUAACAAAAGGUUAAGAAGAAAGAUGGAUUUUUCUCAAUGCAAAAGGUAAUGAGAAUCCCUAGCAACGACUGCGAAGAUUUGAAAUUUAUGAUGACAAUCCCUAGCAACAGUUGGAAAGGUUUAAUAUUUGAUAACAAUCCCUAGCAACGGUUGGGAAGGUUUGAAUUUCUCAUGCAAAAGGCAAUGAGAACUCCUUAACAAAAGGUCAAGAAGAAAAAAUGGACGGUUUCUCAAUACAAAAGUUAAUGAGAUUCCCUAGAAAUGGCUAGGAAGGUUUGAAUUUCUCAUGCAAAAGGCAGUAAGAACUCCUUAACAAAAGGUUAAGAAGAAAGAUGGAUAAUUUUCUCAAUACAAAAGGUGAUGAGGUUCCCUAGCAACGACUGGGGAGAUUUGAAUUUCUCAUGCAAAAAAGGGAUGAGAAUUUCUUAACAAAAGGUUAAGAAGAAAGAUGGAUGAUUUUCUCAAUACAAAAGAUAAUGAGAAUCCCUAGUAACAGCUGGGAAGGAAUAUGUUGAGGGAAUCCUAUUGGGGGUGUUCACGAGGAACCUCGUGCUUUUGAGAGAGGAUUGAAUGCGGCUUAUGAUAAGUGUGCAUUCCCCAUUCUAAAGAGUAUACUUUGAUGCAAUGUUAUGUAUGCAAGAUGUCGAUGUAUGCUCGGGAUGCUGGGGAUAUGAAAAUGCGAGGUUCGAUGAUUGUGUCAAUAUGGUCGGGCUUUAUGGUUAGUGUGAUAACGAUUGGGUUUUGGAGAAAUUCCAAACAAGGUUGGGCUUUAAAUUUUAUUUGGGAGAGCAGAACUCUGACUUCUCGACAUCGUAAUCUGAAUCAUCUAACGUUCAGACUGCGUUUGGUCCAUCUACAGUUGGUUGAUGAUUAUCGUGAUGAGGAUUCCUUGAUUUGGCCAAGUUCAAAGGACUUUGUGGAUUUGUGGUUUCUUUUUGUACCACCAUAUUGAAUUGUGGUUAUCCUUUAGGCACUUUGAAAGGAGAGUAACUUCGAUGUUUUUUCUUCAAAACUUUUAUUAUUAUUCCCAAAAAAAUUCAAUGCAAUAUUUAUUAAAAGAAAUUCACAUUUUACAAACAAAGCAGAAAAAAUAAAAGUAUUGAGCAUAUUUGAUGAAAAGAUUUCAUUGAUAAAAAAUAAACCCGUAAAUGGGUAAAUUACAUGAGGAAGCAAUUCCUAAAAUAGGUGAUUGCAAAAAGGAAAUGGAAAAACAAUAAUGGCAACGAGAAAAACUCGGAUUUCCACUGAGUUCCAAUUUCUGCUAUAAUCCCUAUGUCUUCGAAGGUCCUUGGAUCCUGCUUCUGAAGAAAGUGAUUGGAUUGAUUAUCCAUUCAGAAUUUUUAUGAUAGAUUCAAAGAUUCUUUGCAGACCGCAGCCUCUUGCUUUAUAAAUCCUUAAUUUUUGCCUAGACCUCCCCUUCGGGUUUUCAGCCUACCAGGAUACCCUCUUUUGUCUAAGCUGCCCCUUGGGGUUUUCAAAUUAUCGGGUUUUCUUUUAUUUUAUUAUUAAGCAUAGCACUUUUUGACAGAGUCUGCAUUCACAUGAGAUGGAAGAUCUUAACCAUCCAUAGUUGAGAGUAUAAAGGCUCCUCUAGAGAAAACCUUCCUCAUAACGUAUAGGUCUUUGUAGUUAGGCGUCCAUUUUCCCCUUGGAUCGGUAUGGAUCGGCAUAAUCUUUCUUAACACCAAAUCUCCAGCCUCUAGAUUUUGACGAUGAACUUUCCUAUCGAAUGCCCUCUUCAAUCACUUCUGACCAUGGCAUAUGGCUGCUAGGUGUUUUUCAUCGAUGAGAUUAAGUUGAUCAAGUCUUGCUUGUACCCAUUAGAUUCGUUAAACUUGACAUCGGUUAAUAUCCUCAAGGAGGGAAUAUCUACUUCAAUAGGCAGAACUGCAUCCAUUCCAUAUACCAGAGAGAACGAGGUUGCUCCAGUGGAAGUACGUAAUGAAGUAUGGUAGCCAUGUAAAGCAAAUGGCAACAUCUCAUGCCAAUCUUUGUACGUCUCUACCAUCAUUUGGAUGAUUUUCUUGAUAUUCUUAUUUGCUACCUCAACAAUGCCAUUCAUCUUUGGACGAUAUGGCGAUGAAUUGUGAUGCUCAAUCUUGAAGUUUUUGCACAGUUCUUUCAUCAUCUUGUUAUUGAGAUUCGAACCAUUAUCAGUAAUGAUUUUGUUAGGGAUCCCACAAGGGCAUAUGAUUUCCUUCUUCAGAAGAUGAGCAACCACUUGCUUGGUGAUGUUUGCAUAGGAGACGACCUCCACCCAUUUGGUGAAAUAGUCAAUGACUACCAAAAUGAAACGAUGUCCGUUUGAAACAGUGGGCUCAAUGCGUCCAAUCACAUAUAUGCCCCACAUGGAGAAAGGUCAAGGUAAUGUCAAUACGUUCAAAGGAAAUGGCGACCCAUGUAUUUUAUCUGCGUAGAUUUGGCAUUUGUGGCAUGUUUUCACAUGGCGAUAACAAUCAUUUUCCAUUGUCAUCCAGUAAUAGCCUGCCCUUAAGAUCUUUUUUACCAUUGUAUGCCCACUGGCAUUUGUCCCAAAGGAGCCUUCAUGGAGUUCUGUUAUAAUCUGGUUUGCUUCGUGUCUAUCCAUGCAUCUGAGCAAGACCGGGUCAUGAUUUCUUUUGUAAAGUACAUCUCCACUCAAGAAGAACUUGGCUGAGAGUCUUCAAAGAUACUUUUUGUCUGUGAUGGAUGCAUUUUCUAUAUAUUCUUGUUUCUCCAGGUACCUUUUAGAAAUUGAUAAAUCCUAAUUAAUCCUAAAGCGAUUUCGCUGUGUUUAGGAUUAAUGCCUAGAAACCACUAUUCAGUUAAUCUCAAACUCCCGCUCUGUUGAUUUAUAACCUUAUUGAAUUUUCACUCUCGUGCAAAAACCUUUUUAAAUUAGAAUUGGAAACCAGAGCCAAAAAAAAUAACUCGUAAAAAUUAUCAUUAAUUAUUACCGAAUCCCGUCGGAACGAUGGUCCUUACAUACUGAUCAGUGCAUUUUGAUUCACAUUCUUCUAUAAUUGUACUUACGAAUUUAUCUAGUUUAUUUUAUUUAUUUUAAUAUUUUAUUAUGUUUUUAGAUUUAAGUUCAUGUUUGCCUUUAAUCUAUUUUUGUUUGCUAUUUUCAGUUUUAGCGGUUAUUUGAUACCUGUCCACUGUUUAGAUCAUAACUUGAGCUAUGGGAUGCCGUUUUGCGCGUUCUAGCAUGCGUUGGAAAGCUAAGAGAGAGGGAUAUAAUUUUCGUGUUGAAGCCAAAAAAUGAUUCAGAGUGAAAACGUCUCAAAUAAUUCGUUGAAGUUUCGUAUUUUAGGAAAUAAUUUCUUUUGGGUCAUUUGUUGGGUCAAAUUUAGGUUUUUCGGCACAGUUUGAAUUAUAAGUGAAACCCUUAUUCUGUUUAAAAGGGAAGCCACGGUACUGUAGCAAACACACAUUAUUCACCAUAACGUUUUGCUUUUGUGCGAUCAUGAAGAGGAACUAAUCUUCUAGAGUCAAUCUGUUGUAACCGAAUUUCCAAGGCUUUGAGGUUUUUAUUCUAUCAAUUUAAUUUCGUUCUCUUUCAAUUCUAUUCUAUGAUGCGAUCAUGAAGAGGAACUAAUCUUCUAGAGUCAAUCUGUUGUAACCGAAUUUCCAAGGCUUUGAGGUUUUUAUUCUAUCAAUUUAAUUUCGUUCUCUUUCAAUUCUAUUCUAUGAAAUUUCAUUUUCUUAAUUUGUAUUUUAUGGAAUGGUUUUGAUUAAAUUCAUAUGAUUGCAUUCCUAACUAUUAAUCCUCGUUUUGUCGUUAAAUUGCGUUUGUAAAUCGUGUUUGCUUAAUUCACGAUUAUUUUUAUCCGUUUGCUUAAUUCGGAACAUAGGAAUAUAAAUCUGUCAUAUAUCUGUUGCGCUUGUCAAUCGAAAUUGAAUCGAAUAGAGAUCGAAGCCGCUUAGGGAAUUGGUAGGUAAAAACCAAUGAUUAGUCGGAAACCGAAAACAGUAGAUUGACUUAUUUUAUAAUCGCUUAUUUUAAUCACUUUUUUUGCUUUGUUUUCUAAAUCGACUACUAAACAUAAACCCCCUUUAAAUAGAUUUCAUUAGGUUAAGAAUAAUACAAGAAUCCUUGUGAUACGAUACUCGAGUUGUCGCUUCCGCUAAACUACAGUUUUCUAAUUACUCGUUUUGACCCAUGUGCGACAGCGGAUCAAAUUAGCGCCGUUGCCGGGGAUUCUUGUUGUUUUUAAUCAUUAGUUGAGUCAUAGGUGUCGAUUGUAGUGUUUUGGCCCUCUGAUUUGCUAUUUUGGCCAAUUCGCGUCCGUUCGUCUGACCUGGUCCGUCCUGGUCCAAAAACCCGGUUUUUUGAAAAAUUAUGUUCGAUUCAAAUUCUGUUUUGUCUACUAGGAGCAGAAAAAUCGUGCGAUCAUUAGUCCUAUACUCUUGAAAAGAGUUACGGGAAACCACCCUCAAAUUCCCAAAUUCAUCUUUUCUCUAUUUUUGAUGAAUUUUUUACUGUUUUCAUAGUCUCGAAAAAAUUUCAAAAAAUUUCCAAAAUCCUUAUUUUGUCUAAUUAGAUUAAAUUUUGUGUUUUUGUAUUUUUAUGAAUUUAUUUUGAUCAUAUUUCUUCUUCUUUUUUUGUUUCUGCCUAAUAGGGACAUUGUUGGCAUUUUCGCAUUUGUUGCUGCAUUAGUUCUGGCUACUAUGUCUGGUUGUUCUGAUCUUUUUUAUUUUGAUCCUGAGAUAGAGAGAGCCUUGCACGCACGUCGUAGAGCAAAUCAAGCUAGCACUAGUUCACCACCCGUUAGCGAUUCUGAUUCUAACUAUUUGUAUAACUUAUUUGAUUAUGAUUCUGAACUUGAUUUUAAUAACAUGGUUGAACAAAGAACACUAAGGCAGCUUACUGCUCCUGAUAUGAAUUAUAAUGGUUUAUGUAUUGAAUAUGCUGAUGUUAUUGUUCCUUUUGAGUUGAAAUCUAGUUUAAUACACUUGUUGUCAAGGUUUAUGUUGGUGUAAGCCCUAGAGGCCAAUACUUUUGGUACUUGUAUCGAAUUAUUUAUUAAUAAUAAAAGACUUUUUCUUUAUUAUGUUUGUCUAAUAAAGUCUCUAGAAUAGAUAGUCCGUUUAAUAUAUCAAGUGUGACUUAAUCAUGAGAUCACAUUAAACAUAAGGACACUAUUCUUAAAGUAUCCAUAGUCGAGCUUUAUUGUGAAGUGGGAUAACAUUAAAGCAUUAAGACUAUCAUGUAUAUAGACUGAUGAUCACAUCUCAUGGAUCAUGGAUAAGGAGUUAUCAAGUCUUAAACAUAGGUAUGAAUAUUAAGAGUAAUUUAUACUAGAUUGACCCGCUAUGAGAAUAUAUAUAGAAUAUUUUGCAAAAAUGUCAUAAGUUAUUCUCAUGGUGAUAAUGGUGUAUACCACCCUUCGACCUGAAACCACUAUGGACCCUAGAUGUAGAGUCGAGUGCCUUAUUGCUGAUCAAACAUUGUCCGUAACUGGAUGACCAGAAAGACAGUUGAUGGGUAAUCCACGAAGCGUGCUAAGGGACAUGAGUGACCUAGAUGGAAUUUUCCCAUCCUGCGUAACAGGAUAAAUGUCUAUGGGCCCAAUAUUGAACUGAACAAGGAUGACACGGUCUAUGCCUUAUGUUCAAUAUAGACAUAAGGGCAAAAGGGUAAUUAUACAUAUAAGUAUUAUCACAAAAAGGAUUUGUCAGAUCACAUGACAUUUUCGUGUCUUGGGUAGCAGUGAUGUGUUGCUAGAUACCGCUAACUGUUUAUUAUGUUAAAUACGUGAUUUAAUAUAAUUGCCAAUGCCGCGAGAACCUACAGGGUCACACACAAAAGGACGGAUUGAUGAGAGAUAGAGUAACUAAGGAAUACCGUAAUGUACGGUGCCCUUAAGUGAAUUGUAGAACAUCGUAAGGUACGGUGUACUUUAAGUAGAAUACGAAAUAUGGUAAGGUACCAAUGCUUAAGUGAUUUUGGCAAUUAUAAGUAUGGGCCACAUACACUUGAGUGGUUUUAGCUUGCAGCCCACACAAGUGGUUCUAUAAAUAGAACCUUGUGUAGAAGCAUUUGUGCAGUUGCAAUUUCGUUUCUCUCCUCUCUCUCUCUCACUCAAAGCCUUCAUUCGUAGCAGCUAGCACUGAGAUUGAAGGAAUCCGUUCGUGUGGACUGAGUAGAGGCGUUGUCAUCGUUCAACGUUCGUGAUCACUCCGUAGAUCUGUAUCAAAGGUUACAAUCGCCACAAGAGGUAAAAAUUCUAUCACUGAUCAUGCCCAUUUGCAAGGAUCACUAAAGGAGAAAUUUUAAAUUCCGCUGCAUUUUGGAUUGCCCUUCUCCUUCAGUUUAGUGGUCUUGCAGGUGAGGAUCCGCAUAAGCAUCUUAAGGAAUUUCAAGUUGUUUUCUCUACACCAUUUAGACCUGAAGGAAUCACUGAAGAUCACAUCAAGCUGAGAGCCUUCCCGUUUUCACUACAAGGUGCUGCCAAGGAUUGGUUAUAUUAUCUUAAGCCGAAUUCUGUCACGACUUGGAAUGAUUUGAAGAGAGUCUUCCUAGAGAGAUACUUUCCUGCCUCUAGGGCUGCAUCAAUCCAAAAAGAUAUAUGUGGUACUAGACAGGGAAGUGAGUCAUUGGCUGAGUAUUGGGAGAGAUUCAAACAAUUAGUAUCCAGUUGCCCUCAACAUCAAAUUAUUGAACAAUUGCUAAUUCAGUAUUUCUAUGAGGGAUUGUCACCAACGGAUAGAAACAUUCUUGAUGCUGCUAGUGGUGGAGCACUUGUUGAUAAAACUCCAGUUGCUGCCAAAGCCCUGAUUGAGAACAUGUCACUCGAUUCCCAACAGUUCACAACCAGAAAUAAUUCUAUGGUCCAAACAAAAGGUGUGAAUGACAUUCAGGUUUCCUCUUCCAACAAGGCUUUAGAAACCAGAAUUGAAGAGCUUACUUCUUUAGUGAAACAAAUGGCAGUGAACCAGAAAUAAUUCUAUGGUCCAAACAAAAGGUGUGAAUGACAUUCAGGUUUCCUCUUCCAACAAGGCUUUAGAAACCAGAAUUGAAGAGCUUACUUCUUUAGUGAAACAAAUGGCAGUGAGUAAACCAUAAACAAUAAAGUUGUAUGGUAUUUGUACUUCUACUGAACAUCCAACUGACACAUGUCCUAUUCUUCAAGAUGAGUCGGUCACUCGGUUGCCUCAAGCAUAUGCAACUAACUUUUUCAAUCAAAGCAAUAAUCAGAAAGGGUACAACAUUCCUAACUUGUCCACCAACAAAUAUCACCCCAAUUGGAGGAACCGUCUAAACCUUCGAUAUGGAAACCAGCAACCCACCCAACAACAAUUAGUCAUACCCCUGCCACAACCACAGACACUCCCCAAGUCUCCACCUCUGCACCUUCCGGACCUUCAUUAGAGGAUCUUGUCAAACAAAUGGAUGUGAACAAUCUCCAAUUUUAGCAACGAACAGAUUCCAGUAUUCAGACUUUACAGACACAGAUUGGACAGCUUGCCACUUCGAUGAAUGCCAUGCAGCAAGCCCAAGGAUCAAACUAACUUCCUGCCUAAAUAGUUGUGAAUCCAAAAGGCCCUAAUGCUAAUGUGAGUGCAAUUUCGUUGAGAUCCGGGAAGGUAACAGAACCAGACCCAGAAAAAUAUAAAAAAAUUCUUAAGGUAACACCUGAACCUUCUUCCGUUGUGAUAGAAACUGAACCCUCUGUUGUGGUAGAAACUGAAAAAGAAAAAGAGAAGGAGUAUGUGCCACCAGUUCCCUUCCCACAUAGAAUACUGAAAAAUAAACCGUUGUGAUAGAAACUGAACCCUCUGUUGUGGUAGAAACUGAAAAAGAAAAAGAGAAGGAGUAUGUGCCACCAGUUCCCUUCCCACAUAGAAUACUGAAAAAUAAAAGGACUGAUGAUGGAGACAAAGAGAGAGAGAUUUUAGAUGUGUUCAGAAAAGUGGUAGUAAACAUUCCGCUUCUUGAUGUUAUUAAGCAGGUUCUAAAGUAUGCAAGAUUUCUAAAAGACUUGUGCACAAGUAAGAGAAGGUUGAAGAGCAAUGAGAGAGUAAAUUUGGGACAAAACAUUUCAGCCCUUAUCCAUCCUAAACAUUCACCUGAAAAAGCUACUGUUCUCUUCCCUCAAUCAGGCCAUACCCCAAAAGUGCAAGGAUCCAGGAACUCUUGCUAUUCCAUGUACCAUUGGGGAUAGUAAAUUCGAAAAUUGCAUGCUUGAUUUGGGAGCGGGCAUUAAUGUUAUGCCUACUUCUGUUUAUAAUAACCUUGAUCUUGGUCUUUUGCAUCAUACAUGUUUAAUCAUUCAACUGGAGAACAGAAGCAAUGCUCGCCCUAUUGGAGUGGUGGAAGAUGUGCUUGUUCAAGUUAAUGACUUGAUUUUUCCUGCAGAUUUCUACAUUCUGGACAUGUAUGGAGAAACAAAUUCAAGCAGAUCGCCCAUCAUUUUAGGAAGACCGUUCAUGAAAACGGUGAAAACAAAAAUUGAUGUCGACGAUGGAACCAUGUCCAUGGAAUUUGGUGACAUUGUCGCAAAAUUUAACAUUUUCGAUGCCAUGAAACAUCCCUUGGAGGAGCAUUCUGUUUUUCAUAUUGAAUUGAUCUCUGAGUUGGUUGAUGACACUUUUUCUGAAUUGUUUUCACUUGAUUUUCCAUCUCUAUCUGGGUUUGAUGAUGUUUAUUCAUGUGCUGAUGGUACUGACACUAAACUUUGCCUUGCAGGGUAACAUUUCUCUUACAAGUGAAGUUGUCCAUGAAGUUGUUUAUGUAGUUGAAGCUCUCGACAUCCCGGCUGUCCCAAACACCCCAUCCAUUGAGCAACCACCUUCCCUAGAGCUGAAACAACUCCCUGAAAAUCUGGAAUAUGCUUAUUUAGAUAGUAAUGAAAAACUCCCGGUUAUAAUUUCUUCUAACCUUGAUUUCGAUCAAGAAAAUAAGAUUUUGAAGGUUUUGAGGAAGCAUAAAAAGGCGAUUGGGUGGACAUUGGUUGACAUACCAUGCAUUAGUCCCUCAAUGUGUAUGCAUAGGAUUUUACUUGAGGAUGGUUGUAAAACAGUGAGGCAGGCCCAAAGGAGGCUUAAUCCUUUGAUUCUCGAUGUUGUGAAGAAAGAUGUAACCAAACUCUUGCAAGCAGGUAUCAUUUAUCCUAUCUCUGACAGUAAAUGGGUAAGCCCAGUGCAGGUUGUACCUAAGAAAUCUGGACUCACAGUGGUCAAAAAUGAAAAAAAUGAACUUGUUCCCACUAGAGUUCAUAAUAGUUGGAGAGUUUGUAUUGAUUACAGGAUAUUGAAUCAGGCUACUAUAAAGGAUCACUUCCCUUUGUCGUUCAUUGACCAAAUGCUUGAACGACUAACUGGUAAAUCACACUAUUGUUUUCUUAAUGGUUUUUCAGGUUACUUUCAGAUUCAUAUUGCACCAGAAGAUCAAGAAAAGACCACUUUUACGUGUUCAUUUGGUACAUUUGCUUACAGGAGGAUGCCUUUUGGUCUUUGUAAUGCUCUUGGCACAUUUCAGAGAUGCAUGAUUAGCAUUUUUGCUGAUUUUAUUGAAAAUUGCAUGGAAGUGUUUAUGGAUGAUUUCACUGUUUAUGGUUCUUCAUUUGAUGGACGUUUGAAUAGUUUAAAUUUGGUUUUAGAGAGAUGCAUCAAAACUGACCUUGUUUUAAAUUAUGAAAAAUGUCAUUUUAUGGUCGAACAUGGAAUUGUCCUGGGUCACAUAAUUUCUAAAAAAGGAAUUUCAGUAGACCCUGCUAAGGUUGAUGUUAUUUCUACACUAAAAUUAUGAAAAAUGUCAUUUUAUGGUCGAACAUGGAAUUGUCCUGGGUCACAUAAUUUCUAAAAAAGGAAUUUCAGUAGACCCUGCUAAGGUUGAUGUUAUUUCUACACUUCCUUACCCAUCUUGCAUUUGCGAGAUUUAUUCUUUUCUUGGUCAUGCCGGUUUUUACAGGCGCUUCAUAAAGGAUUUCAGCAAGAUAGCUUUUCCGCUGUCAAACUUGUUGAAGAAUGAUGUCACUUUCAACUUAGAUGAUAAUUGCAAAAAAGCAUUUGACUUAUUGAAGAAAGCAUUGACCUCCGCCCCUAUCAUCCAACCCCCUGACUGGACCCUCCAUUUCGAGAUUAUAUGUGAUGCUUCUAACUAUGUUGUUGGGGCGGUCCUUGCAGAAAGAGUUGAUAAGGUUGCCCAUGUUAUUUAUUAUGCUUCUAGAACUUUAGAUUUUGCACAGUCUAAUUACACCACCACUGAAAAGGAACUUCUAGCUAUUGUUUUUGCUCUUGAUAAAUUCUGAUCAUAUUUGCUAGGUUCCAAGGUUGUCAUUUUUACUGACCAUGCAGCUUUAAAAUACUUGUUAAAGAAGCCAGAAGCAAAAUCGAGAUUGAUUCGAUGGAUGUUGUUGCUCCAAGAGUUUAAUGUGGAAAUUAGAGAUAAAAGUGGAGCUGAGAACUUGGUGGCUAAUCAUUUGAGCAGGAUAGAGAGGGAUGAAGAUCCUUUUCCCAUUCAGGAUGACUUUCCCGAUGAGCAGCUUUUACUUUUGCAUGGGGUUACUCCUUGGUUUGCUGAUAUUGUUAAUUAUCUUUUUGCUGGUGUUUUUCCUGCAGGUGCAUCUAGGACACAAAUUCACAAACUCAAGAGUGACGCCAAAUAUUAUGUUUGGGAAGAUCCAUAUCUUUGGAAGUUUGGUAGUGAUCAAGUAAUUAGGAGAUGUGUCCCCGACUAUGAGAUUGAAUUUAUUUUGCAUAUUUCUCAUGCUUCUCAACUAUGGGGGCACUUUGGUCCUCAAAGGACUGCAAGAAAAGUGUUAGACUCAAGUUUCUAUUGGCCCACUAUUUUUAAAGAUGCCUAUGAGACCUAUAGAACUUGUAAAGAGUGCCAAAUAGAAGGUACAACCAUCACUCGUAAGAGUGAAAUGCCUCAGCAACCUAUGCUUUUCUGUGAGGUAUUUGAUGUAUGGGGAAUUGAAUUCAUAGGUCCCUUUCCUAUAUCAUUUGGUUUUAUAUACAUUUUUCUUGCUGUUGAUUAUGUUUCAAAGUGGGUGGAAGUUAUCCCCACUAGGACUGACGAUUCUAGAGUUGUUGCAGAUUUUGUCAGGUCCAAUAUUUUUUGCAGGUUUGGAAUCCCCCGAGCUAUCAUAAGUGACCAAGACACUCAUUUCUGUAACUGCACUAUGGAAGCUUUGCUCUGGAAGUAUGGAGUUAUGCACAGAGUCUCUACCGCAUAUCACCCACAAACUAAUGGACAAGUUGAGAUCUCAAACAGGGAGAUCAAACAGGUCUUAGAGAAAAUGGUGCAACCAAACAGGAAGGACUGGAGCCGUCAUCUAGAAGACGCACUUUGGGCUCAAAGAAUCGCUUUUAAGACACCAAUAGGGAUGUCCCCUUAUCGAUUUUUUUUGGUAAGGCAUGUCACCUUCCUGUAGAGAUAGAACACCAUGCUUAUUGGGCGGUAAAAAGUUGUAAUUUGGAGAUGCAACAAGCAGGUAUUGAAAGAAAACUCCAAUUACAACAACUUGAAGAACUUAUGCUAAAGGCUUAUGAGAGCUCUAGGAUUUAUAAAGAGAAAACUAAGUACUUCCAUGAUAAGAUGACUUCUAGGAAGGAAUUCUCUGUGGGCCAACAAGUUUUACUGUUUAACUCUCGUCUUAAGCUUAUGGCUGGGAAACUUCGAUCCAAGUGGAUUGGCCCUUUUGUUGUUACUAAUAUUUUCCCUCAUGGUGUAGUAGAAAUAAAAAGUGCAGGUACUAAUAAAACCUUUAAGGUCAAUGGGCAGCGCCUGAAGAUAUUCCAUGAAAGUGCGGUGCCUGAAGAUGCACUCUUAGAAGAGCUUUUCUUGGAAAAGCCCACCUACCCUGCAACUUGACCAGGGAGCACUUUUUCCUUUCCUCUCACUCUUAUUUAAUAGUUGUGUCCUUUCAUUGAGGAAAAUGCAUAUUUUAAGUGUGGGGGAGGGAACCAUUUAUUUAUUUUGUUUUCUCUGUUUUGUUUUCAGUUUUCUCUGUUUUUGGUUAAAAUUUAAAAUAAAUAAAAAAUUGCAUAUUUUUUCUCUUGGUUUUUGAGUUACAAUUAUGAGUAUUUUUCUUAGUUCUCUUGACUAAAAUCUUGUGGUGUGAUGUGAAAAAUUUGUGCAUUUUUAGUAUGAUAGGUAUGACUAAACUCUAAAUUGUAUAUCUUUAGCAGUAGAUCAUUAACCCUGGUGAGCUUUGAGCCUUAUAUGGAUAACAUACAAAAAUCCAUGUCUUUCUUUCUUGUGUGAUUCACUUAUGUUUGUUAGUCUCUAGAACUUGAAUUGACUCUUGUUGAUGUUGUUGUUUACUUGUUCGCACUGAUAUGAUAAAGGCAAUUUUGUUUUUGUUUUUUUGUUUUUUUUAGCCAGUUAGCCAAAAAGUCAACCCUGAAAUAAUUGUAUCCCUUGUUUGAAACCCCCUUGAGCCUAUUAUCCUUUUUUUUAUUUAAAAUUUAUUACAAGCCGAGAAGUGAAAAACAAUGUUAUCACCUUAUUCAAAUGGUUGAAAGAGUCUUGUUUGGAGUUGUGUGGGGUUGAAUAAUUAUGUUUGUAAUAUUUCAGAAGUAGGCAGAAAAAGAAAAAAAAUAGAAAAGAAAAAAAAAGGAAUGAAAAAAUAGAAGGAUAAGAGGAAGAAAAAAAAAGGAAUUAUGUUUGUAAUAUUUCAAUACAUGUCAAUACAUACUCCUUCAAAAAAAAAGAAUAAAAAAAGGAAGGAGAAGAGAAAGCAAUUGCUAUAGAGUUGUUCAAGUGAAUGAAAUAUUUUGUAAAUUCAACUCUCGUAAUUUCUUUCAAGUCUCUUUUAUCUCUUUGAAUUUUAGCCUAGUACCCCUUAGGAUUUAUCUCACCCUUAUCUUGGCCAUGUUACAACCAUAUAAAAGUCCUUUUGAUCUUUGUGUGCAUGUAUUUCAACUGUGGAUGUUAGAGUCCUUUCAAGCUUAUGGUAGUACUAAUUUUCAUGUUGUACUUUGAGUUUAAAUAGUUAAUCUAAACACUUGAGAGUUGAAUGAAUUAUAUCCUGUGAGGAUCUUACUACUGUUGAUGUACUUUUUGGUAAUCUGUUUUUCUAUCUGCUUUGAAUGUCACAAAAAAGUUGCUUACUAACACCAUGUUCUUGAAGCUUAGAUUUAGAAUUAUGCUUAUACCUUGUAUCUUGAAAACUUUGGGAAGUGCAUGCUCUGUUUUCUUUCCUUUUGUUUUAAAAUUGUAAUUUUGCUCGGAGUGCAAAAGUUCAAGUGUGGGAGAAUUUGAUCAGCGUAUUUUGAUGCACAUUCUUCUAUAAUUGUACUUAGGAAUUUAUCUAGUUUAUUUUACUUAUUUUAAUAUUUUAUUAUGUUUUUAGAUUUAAGUUCAUGUUUGCCUUUAAUCUAUUUUCGUUUGCUAUUUUCAGUUUUAGCGGUUAUUUGAUACCUGUCCACUAUUUAGAUCAUAACUUGAGCUACGGGAUGCCGUUUUGCAUGUUCUAGCAUGCGUUGGAAAGAUAAGAGAAAGGGCUACAACUUUAGUGUUGAAGCCAAAAGUUGAUUCAGAGUAAAGACGUCUCAAUAAUUCGAUGAAGUUUCGUACUUUAGGAAAUAAUUUCUUUUGGGUUAUUUGUUGGGCCAAAUUUAGGUUUUCCGGUCCAGUUUGAAUUAUAAGUGAAACCCUUAUUCUGUUUAAAAGGGAAGUCGCAGUACUGUAGCAAACACACACUAUUGACCAUAACUUUUUGCUUUUGUGCGAUCAUGAAGAGGAACUAAUCUUCUAGAGUCAAUCUGCUGUAACCGAAUUUCCAAGGCUUUGAGGUUUUUAUUCUAUCAAUUUAAUUUCGUUCUCUUUCAAUUCUAUAGCGAUCAUGAAGAGGAACUAAUCUUCUAGAGUCAAUCUGCUGUAACCGAAUUUCCAAGGCUUUGAGGUUUUUAUUCUAUCAAUUUAAUUUCGUUCUCUUUCAAUUCUAUUCUAUGAAAUUUCAUUUGUUUAAUCUGUAUUUUGUGGAAUGGUUUUGAUUAAAUUCGUAUGAUUGUAUUCCUAACUAUUAAUCGUUGUUUUCGUCGCUUUGUCGUUAAAUUGCGUUUGUAAAUCGUGUUUGUUUAAUUCACGAUUGUUUUUAUCUGUUUGCUUAAUUCGGAAUAUAGGAAUAUAAAUCUGUCAUAUAUCUAUUGCGUUUGUCAAUCGAAAUUGAAUCGAAUAGAGAUUGAAGCCGCUUAGGGAAUUGAUAGGUAAAAACCAGUGAUUAGCCGGAAACCGAAAAUAGUAGAUUGACUUAUUUUAUAAUCGCUUAUUUUAAUCACUUUUUUUCUUUGUUUUCUAAAUCGACUACUAAACAUAAACCCCCCUUAAAGGAAAGUGAGACCUUUAAUCACCUUUUUUGCUUUAUUUUAAUCACUUUUUCCUUUGCUAACAGGAAAGGUAUAGGAUUGCCAGCUAAGAAAUUGUCAAUGUUUGGGAAUAAGAUAAUUCCAUGAAUCAAAAGUGCCAAGACUAAACCACAGAACUCCGACUCUUUUUUAGAAAACUUCCAAGCACAGUGUUUCAUAUACAUCCUUGUGAACCCUUUGAAAACACCCUUAGGAGCCCAAUUGGCCAUCACUUCACUUGCAUUAAGACCCAACAUUGAGGCUAACUUGGUCAUAGUAAAGUCUUCUUCCAUCUUUCGGGAAAGGAUUAUGAUCUUUGAUAGGUCGAUCCAAAAUCUUCUCGAAACCUUCCAAGGUUGGAGCUAUUUGAAAUUUGGGAAAAGUGAAACAUCGAUGAGGGAUAUCAUAAUAUUGAGCCAAGGUGGUGAGAGAUCCAAAGUCCACUUUUUCUGUCAAUUGAUCCAAAAUAUUCCCAUAGGCUGCAUGGAACUUGUUGUGCUUGAUAGGCUUCACCUUAGAACUUAAGGCUUUCAGGCUGUCAAUUUGAGGUUCCUUGUAUCGGAAGGAGAAUGUGAUUUUCCUAGGAGGAGGUUUCAUGAUUACUUUGGAAAAUGUUCGUGUGUAUUCCUGCAAUGAACAUAAGAUACUAAGAGCUUUGUGUUUGUGGUAUUUAUGUUUAUGAUGUAUGACUGCAUGAAUGCAUGAUUAUGUGUGGAUUGAACCACACUCAACCAUAGGUUCAUAGGUCUGAGAUGUAUGAGGUAUGGAAUGGAGUAUAAUGUUGAAUGCUUUCCAAACAGGGAUCCAAUUGGGUAUGAUCUAGGGUUUUAAUAAACAGGUACCCCAGAGUCAUGGAUUCAUCCGAUUGUUUUCCGCUUACAAAAAAGGCAUGUCGGUCGAAAACUCCAUCAAAUGAAUCUAGUUUGGGUUAGGUCUUCGUACCGAUCCUCGCAAGAAAAAGCUUCUCAGGGAACCACACUACGCGACCAUUGACAUUAGGUUCUAUACAAAGCUUUCAAAGUCAUGGAUUCCCUUGAUUGUUUGCCACUUACGUCAACUCCAUCAAGGAAAUCUAUUCUGAAUGAGGUCUUCGUACUGAACCUCGCGAGAAAAGCUUCUCAGGGACCCGUACUACGCGACCAUAGUUCUAGUUGGUCAAAGGUUCAAGGUUCUAUAAUGGUCCUUAGAGUCAAGGAUUUUCAUGAAAAUACUAACGCUUACGCCAAAGCUUGACGAUCAUCAAUAUCAUCAAAAGAAUCGACUCUAAGCAAAGUUCUCAUAUCGACCCUUACGAGAAAAUAUUCUCGGUGGCCCAUACUACUAAAACACUUCUAUCUUGAUUUUACUCUCUAGACUCGGGUAGAGAGUCUUUCCCACAAGGUUUUUUUUACAAUCAAUAAUAUCCAUUUCAUACCCCCUCCUCAAGGAGAUGUGUAACAGAUAAGAUAAUGUCAACAAAAACAAAGAAAGCAAUUAGAUAGAAAGGUAAAACAAAAAUAUCAACACACACGCGCGCGGAAAAACAACCUAGACUAGGCUUGACUUGCUUAGUGAAAUCGGGUCACUUGCAGAGUCACCAGCUGUCGCUAUGUGAAAAACUGACCAACCGACACACAGUCGCCACCAGAUUUUAUUUAUUCCAAGAAAAGAGGAAAGGGAAAAUAAUCUAUAAAACCCUCUAAAGAAAAUGAAAAUUGGUCUCGCAACCAAAUUAGGGUUCAGAAGCCAAUUAUGCAAUGGGAAGGUAUUAACAUCCCUCACAUCCAUCAUACUCGAUGGGAACAUCUAAGUUAUCUAUGUGAAAUGGGUGUUUAUCUAUCUUAAUGCUUACUUACUAUCGUAGAAAAGGGGGAAAUUAUUAUUUUUUUUAUUAUUGUGCUCGUCAAGGAUUGGGGCCCUUGUGCCUACGUAUCAUCAUUAUGGGAUGAAGAAUCAGAGCUUCGUAGUUCAUAGUAGAAAAUGAUUGUUUGUUGGUUGAUUUUACCUUGAAAAAAGAGUUUUCAGAGUGAUGCCCUAAGGCGCAAAAAUGAGUUUUAUGAGUUGAUGUUGAUUUUAAAUUUUUGAAAAGAGAUGGUUUUUUAUUAGAAUUGCACUAAAGACUAUGGACAGAGGUGAAUAUUUCAAACAAAUAAGCCAAGCGUCUUGUAUCCAAAAUAUUCAGAGUAAGGGUAGGAAAACCCCAUUCUUACUCAUUCUCUACCACUUAAGGCUCGUGGCACCCAAUUAUAUUCGUAUAUUUUAUUGUGUUUUGAAUUUAAUUGAGAAAAUGUAGAUUGACGUUGGAUUAAGGGUUUAUUGUUUAUUUUUUGAAACGGUGAGGUUGAUCUAAUUCCUAAGAGUUUAAAAGGAAAACAAACAAAAAGAAAAUUACAACUAAAAGGGGAGGGAUACAUGGAAAAUUACAAGGGGGGAUAAUGUGAGAAAUAAGGGGGCUCAUUGUAAGGUAGCCCAAGAGGUAGCCUUGUGCGUGUAAAGUGGCAUAAUCUAACAAGUGGAUAAUGGGCUUAAGAACAUGUCUCCCUAGGGUAGUGCCAUGAAUGUCAUUCUUUCAAUAAAAGAUUACAAGUCCAAAGAAACUUCAAGUAAAACAAUAAGUCAAAUACAAUAAUCCAAGGUCCAAAUGCAAAGUCCCUAAUAAGUCCUCUAAGUCCGACGUUAGGUCACAAAUGAUACAUCUUUUUAGUCUUUUCAUUUUAUUAUGGUUUUUAUUCUUUUUGAUUAUGCAAAGUGAUAAGGAAACAACAAAAAAUAAAAUGGCAUAAAGUAAAUGAUAUAUGGGGUGAAUGGAUGAUAGUGUACAUAAACAUAAAGUCCUUGAAAUAAAAUCAACAAUGAAAAUAAAUUGCGGAAAGUAAAUUGCGAGAAUUUAAAUGGCGAAGAAAUAAAGUGCAAUAAUAUAAAAGUUAGGAGUUAGGAGUUAGUGACAAAGUUACAAAAGGUAUCAUCUAUCAUCAAGAAAUUCAACAAUAUGAUCAACCAAUGGCAACCUAUCAACACCUCAAAGUGUCAAGAAUGAUCCAUUGAUCAUUCAUCAACAUGUUUGAAAUAUUAAAUUUUCAACCAAACUUGAGAUCAUUAAUCAAUGAUGUUAAAGAUUCCAUCAACCAAAUGAUCAUAAUAAAGGGUAAAUAAUAUAAAAUAAACAAGAAAUGAUAAUAAUGAUAAUAAUAAUAAUAAUAAUAAUAAUAAUAAAGAAAGUACACCAAAUAAAAUUUAGUUAAGGUGUGAAAAUAAAAUAAAAUAAAAGAAAAAAAGUGUGAUUAAAAAUGAUAAAUGCAAAAUAAUAAGAACAAAAAUUCCCAAAGAGAGUGCAAAGCAAACAAAACCACUUGUCUCAAACUUUAUUCAAAUACUUUUCAAAAAACCAACCUAUGAAUGAACACCCAUUUUCAACAAAAACAGAACCAAAAUGCUAAUGAGUUUGAGUUAUAAUCAUUAUCAAAUGUGUGAUGUGAAAACUAAGUUGUUGUGGUGUUGAGCUUAAAGGUGAAACAAGAGGUUUGAAAGAUGGUGAUUAUGGUUGAAACUUAAUGAAAGAGGUUGAGUUGUGAGUUUAGAAAAUGGAAGGAUUAGGGGAAAAUAAAAUUUGAAGAAAGUUGUGGGUGGUCGUUUGAGAAAGGAUGAUUGUAUGAGUUUGAGUUUAGGUUUUUAGAGAGAGUUUGAGUGUGUUUGGACAGAAUUUCUAGGGGAUGCUAGCUUGUGAAAAUGAGGGGGAAAUAUGGUGGUAUUUAUAGGGAAAACAUAUGGGUAGGUGUGUGUAAAAAGGAAUCACUUUGUGUAAAAAAAAAGAAAUUAUUGUUGUUGUCCGUGAAGGUGUAACCGGUUACCAGGAUUUGGGCAACCGGUUACACAGACUGAAAAUGGUCUUAGAAGUCUGUUGAAAGUAGAUGUAAUCGGUUACCACAAUUUGGGUAACCGAUUACCAGUGCAAAAAUUGCCCAUGGAUGCCUGUUUAAGAGAGGGUGUAACCGAUUACCAUAAUUUGGGUAACCGGUUACACAGACCAGAACUUGGAAUUAUUUGCUAUGUUAUGGCUUUUUCCUUUGAAGUGCCAUCAAGAAAAACCCUAUUUUUCCUCAAGUAUGACCAACAUGCCUUGAAUCAGUGUAAUAUAUCUUUAGUUAUGAAUGUUAAUACAAAUAUGGUGAUGAAAUGACGAAUUCAUGCAUGUGUAGUAGGAUCAUGAAACAUAUGGAAAUUGUAUAGGAUGGGGUAACUUUUUUGGUAUGACACUCUCUUAUAGUUAUAUUUCCUCGGUUUUUUUAAAAACGUAGGGAAUAAGUUGUAUAUUUUUUUUAGAAAAAACAUGGUGCUUCCAGCAUAUAUUGUAACACUAUAGUUUUCUAGAAAUUAUUUAUAUUAAUUAAUUAUAAUUUUAUGUGUGUAUCUAAUUAUUAUUUGUGUGAUAAUUGAGAUGUGUUAGGGCAACAAGGGUGUGUGACCAUUGGAUAAAGAGUGUGUAGAGUGAUUAGAGGUUGGUAGAUUUAUUUAUAAUUAUUUAAUUGAUUAAAAUAAUGUUUUAGUGUUAUUAUUUAAAUGAAAUAAUAAAAUAAAAGGAAAUAAUGAGUUUGGGUGGAAAGUGUGAAUUAUGGAAAAUUAAAAUAAAUAAUGUUAGUUAGUAAUAAGUUGGGCCUUAGUGGAAUAUUAGAAAAAUAGAAAUUAGGUUUUUAAUUUAGGAUGAGAGAAGUGAAGAAAAAAAUUUAUAGUAGGUGAAAGUUUUGGAAUUGAAGAAAAAGAGGCAAGAGAAGAGAAAAAAAGAAAAACCCCAUGAGAGCUCUAGGGAAGAGAAUAACCAAAAGCUUGGAUUUUUCUGGAAUUACAAGAUAAGGGUGAGAGUUUGGUUCAAUAAUAGGGAUAUGGAUGGAAGGGUAGAGGAAUGUUUAAUUCUCUUUGGAUUGAUGAUGAAUGUUGAUAUUUGUUGAAUUAAAUUUAUGUUUUAAAGUGUUCAUGUAUGUCCAUCAUUGAUGAUGUUUGAAGGUUUUAGGGAUCGGUAUAGUAUAUAGAUCCAUGAUUAUAUGAAUAUAAGUAGUGAUUGAUAUAUGUAUGUUUAUGACUGAAUUUAAAACCAUAAAAUAUUUUUGGUAAUGAUUUCAUGGGCAUUUUUUGGAUUGGAGAAGAUGAAAAUCGUGCUAGAAAUUUCAGAAAAAAUAAUAACUUUUUGGUAACCCCUUCAUGCACGAUUUCGAUAAUAACUUUCAACUCGUAAAUUAUUUUGGGACGAGGAUUAAAGUAUUGAGUACCUGAAACAGAGGGCUAUAACUUUGUUUAAGGGAUAAAAUAGUUUUAACGAUUUUAUCAGAGGUUGGUAGUAGGUGGAAAAGAAGUGUAUGAUGUGAUGAAUAUGGACGAGGUCCAUAUUGAUAAAUUAUUUGAUGUGUUGUGAAUGAUUGAGAUGGUGUGUUUAAUUAUAUUGGUGGUAGUCUAAAAGAGGGAUUAUAUUACACAUGGUUGAAAUUGUGUGAUCGAUUAUGGGUCACUAAAUAUUAUUGUUAUUGUUAUGUUAAUUGCAUUAUUACCAUGUCAUACAUUCGUUAUUGAUAUGUUGAAGAAGAUAAGCCAUAGAUUCGAAGGGGGACGAAAGACUUAUUCGAAACUCAGAAGGGGGAGUUCGGGAUUCCGAAGGGGAAAUCGGGUUCGUAAGAAGAAGCAAAUGUUGAAUUGGUAUCACAUGAAUAUGUGUCGUUGUCGUUGUCGUGAGACGCACGGGAUGAAUGAAUUAUAUGUGCGAAAUAUGACUAUGUGUGAUGAUGGUGUUGUUUUAUGUGAUGUUGAUGAUAAUUUGGGCGUGAGAAUGUGAUAUGUUAUUAUGCAUGAUUGUGUAGAUGUUGUACUCUAUUUUACAUUCUAUGUUGUUAUUAUUGAAAUGAAUUCUCACCCCUUCUGUUUGAAUGUUUCCUUUAAAUGGACAUCAUGUAGAUACUCAAGAGUAGAGACGUUGUUGUGAGUGAAAGUUAACUCUUUGAACUAUAUCUUUUAGUUUAUUCGUGUUAGCUUUGGUUAUGCUCUGAUAUGUAAUACUGGGAAGCGAAUUAUUUAUUUUGUGUUACAAUUUCCUAAGAGACAAUGCAUCAUCUCAUAUUUGUUUUAUGUUUUGGUGUGAUAUCACUUAGAGAAAACUCAAGAAUCGGUGCUUUUAAUUUUGUUAUGAAAACUAUUAUGAGAUUUUAAAUUGAUAUCUUUUUUUUAUUAUGAUUCUGCUGCAAAUAUAUUCAGAUGAGGUGGAUGUCAUGUAAACAUCCUAAGUGCAAAUGUAUGUAGUAAAAUAUGUUGUUGUAACUCGUGUUACAGAGUAGGCUAUGAUUAUUGUGAGUGAUAUCCUAAGUGAUUGUAUUUCGUUAAUUAAAUUCUUUGAUAAUUAUGCGCGGGUUUUUAGGGUGUUACAUAUAUCACCUUAAUUUCUUAUUGUUCGAGGUGAAAGCUUCAUCAUAAAAUAUCUGAUUUGUAGUAGGAAAUAUAUAUAAUACAUAAUAACAUACAAAAUUACCCCCAACAAGAGAUAAAUUAGCUACACAUAACCAUGUGUUAGAUGCCCAAAAGUGCUUAUUUGAGCUAUCAUAUGUGGGCAUCUUUCACUCUUUUGCCUUGCUAAAAUUGUCAAAAUCACAUUUAUUUUACAUGGAAUGCGUACAUUGAUAAACAAGCUUUGGUGCCUUUGAUGUGUUUGUUAUUGUGCAGGAAAGGCAUGAAUUAAUUGAUAAUAAGACACAAGAGAAUUGGCAAGAACCAAGCAAGGAGCAUUUCAUCUGCCAGCUCGCUAGGCGAGGAUGUGGCGAAGCAAAACCUUCGCUAGGCGAGCUCCUGGCGAAAGGCUCCAGUAAAUUGGUUAAUUAAUUCGCUAGGCGAACUGAAGGCGAAGUGGCAGCGAAUUCGUCUGUUUUGGUGAAAGACAGCCAGCACUAGCUCGCUAGGCGAGGCUCUAGCGAGUCCCCAGCGAGCAUUCCAUGCAAAACCUCUCAACCUCGCUGGGGCGAGGUUGAACGAGUUUUCGCUAGGCGAAGGUCUGUUCGCUAGGCGAACAUGACAUUCCACAGGCCCAGUUUCUCUGGGCGCAGGGGCAUUUGUGCCCAUUUUUGGCCUUCGCUAGGCGAGCCAUUCUGCUCGCCUAGCGAACGUGACAGUUCUGCACUUGUCUAUAAGUAGCAGGUGCCAUUUUUGAGCCCAUACCACUUUUUACCAACUUUUCCAUUUUUGUGUACUUUCUCUUAGAUAUUUUACAGCAUUGUUUGGAGGGAUUUUUUUGAUGCCCUAAUUUCAUUUCUCUUCAUCUAGCAACCAUCUUCCACAAAAAGAAGGUGGAUUCCCAUCCAACUUCGAUCAUUCGACUUGGAUGUUGAUCAACCCUCUUUUCUUACUUGCCGACCAAGCUACCAUGAAAAUGAGUAGCUAAGUCUUCCAUUUGUCAAGGUUAGAUGUAGGUGAUUUCCAAGCUUUGUGUGUAAAUGUAAGGAUCCUCAUUUGUAACUCUUUAACGGUAAAUAUAUGAAAACUUUGUUCUAUUUAAAACUCUUUGUGUUGGUAUUUGAUCGAGAAUGUUUACCGAUUCUUGACCUAGGUUUUCAUCCAACUUGUUUGUUAGCUAGAGAUAGUAACGAAUGAUUUUGUUCACCAUAAGGUUGAACCAAAACGUUGUCUUUUUGGUAGAUUGUGUUCGAGAGAAACAAUGGAUCAAAAUGACAAAACUCACAAUGGGUGUUCGAGAGAAACGCAUUGAGAGGACUUUGUGAAUUAUUUAUCAUCUAAAGGAGUUUAUAAGAUUGUUGACCGAGCAAUACAUGCAAAGCAAAUGUAAUCAUUGAAACCUAACUUUGACAAUAUUCUCUAUUAAUCAAACUAACUUUACCGCAAUUAAUUACUUUGUAUGCAAGAUAACUUGAUUAAAACCAAAACCCUAGUGUUACUUUAAGUUAAGAUUAAUUCAACCAUUGAACGGCAGUGAUAUCUUACAAUCUCUGUGGAUACGAUAACAAAACCCGACACUUAAAAACUAUCUCAACAAAAUGGCGCCGUUGCCGGGAUUGUAAAUUGAUAUUGCGAGCAUCGCAUUGGUUGUUUAAGUUUUAGCUUGUGAAUUUUUGACUUGUGCUUGUAAUUCGUUUGGUUUAGUGUGCAGCUACGUUUUAUGCGAGGGAAAAUCCCUGUGGACGAACUUCUUUUUGAUCCGGAGAUCGAGAGAACCGCAAGGAGGCUCAAUAGCAAAAAAGACGUAGGAGGCAACAGGCUAGGCAACGCCAAGAGCAAGAGAAAGUUCUUCAACCCAAAUCCCACACAUCUACUGUGCCGAUCCAGUGGCACAUUUAGUACAUUCCAUCCUCGCCAAUGUCGAGAUUGAUGUGGCGAGGAUCAUUGCCAAUGAGCUGAAGACGGUAAUAGAGAGCGGACUGAAGUCGGGGCUCGGGUGAAUUGCCCCCUUGCAUUCCCUGUUUGAUUAUGAGUCUGUGCAUUAAGGCACGAGUGCGACUUCCGUCUCGGGGUCAGGUUAGGAUCCCGGCUCCUAUUGAUGACGGUAUGUGCAAAAUACUGCAGAGGCUAAGGCCCCGGCAGCAGUGCAGCCUCAGGUACACUAGGUUUCUGAUGUCCUAGUGCUUCUACUCCAGGGUCGAUCCAUACCCUGCGGGCUGCGUGUGAUUCAAUUUCGAGUGGGAUGGCAGCAUCGCAGAGGGCUAUGAUUGACAUGCACGACUCGAUGCAGCGUUUGAGCUGCAGGGUAGUGGUGCACAUGCUUUGAUGACACGGGAGCAGUUUCUGACUAAUGCAAAUUGGCCCGUGACGUGCCAGUCUAUUCUGAGGGGUGGGAGCUGAUGAUGAUGAUGAGGAUGAUGAUGAGGCGACCGGUUCUGAGGCGGUAGUGAGGAGGAGUCUUGAGCCCUUUGUGGGUUAAGUGUUUUGUUUUGUAUUUCAGUUUUUUAUUAUGGCUUUUUAUUUGUACUUUUAAAUUUUGUAUUUUGACCAUGGGUUGUACUUUGGGUGUUUUGUCCCCACGAACAAAAUUUUAUUUUUCAGUUAAUGUUAUUUAUGUUUGUUGUUAAUUUUGUGUGUUAUAAAUUUUUGGUUGAAUAAGUGGCAAACCCUUCUAGUGGUUGCUCCUCAAGAAGUACCAUGAAGGCAUCCGAGCUUGGAUGGCAAUGAUAAGAAUAACAAGUGAAUGAAGCUAAGGUACAUGGUUACGUCGGCUAGAUAUUUAGAAUGCAUUAGGAACUUUACUCUUUUUGUAAAUAGAAUAUUGGUUUUUUGCAACAUAAUUGAAUGAAUGUUUCAUCUAGAACUUAGAACCAUAUAUUGUGAGGAAACCUCCAUUGUACACUUAAAUGCUGGAGUCUAAUAAUUUGUUGAUUCAUUGAUUUUUUUGUCUGUUAUUAUUGUGGAUUGUGGAAGCAAUUAGAAAUGAUCAAGGCACUUGUUUCUUUCGAGCACAACUACAUCCAAAAAACUUUACCUGUGAGCAGAGAGAGUAUUUGUUAACCCCUUUGAGCCUGAACAGUUGAAUCUCGGCUUGAAAUAAAGCGAGAUCUCAAAAUCUUUUUUACAACCCGGAAAAUAUUGAUUAUUGUUCUUUUGCCGUAAAAAGGUAAGAGCAUUCACUUAGGGUGUGGAAAGAUUAAGUUGGGAGAACGAAAAAGAAUUGGUAGCACACAACUCUUGAAAAAGAAAGAAACCGAGCAAGCAUAGAAAAAUAUAUGAUAGAAAAUAUAGAAAAGAACAUCUGUUUUUGUACAUUUGAUGUGAAAGAAAGAACAAAAAUAUAAAGAAUGAAAAUGAAUGCUUGCUUGGAAGAAAAAUAGUGAAAAAUAAGAGUUGAGUUGUGGAAUAUGUGUUGUGAAGGUUACAAAUAAGAAACAGAUGAAACAAGUCGAGUAGUGUGAAUAAUACUGUGAAUGUCUCUUUUGCAUCGGCACUUUCGUUUCAAUGGCCUUAGAAAUGACCCUUGUUUGUUAACCGACCAAGCUUCACCGAAAAGCCUUAGUGAUCUUUUUGGCUUCCACAGUACCAUUUUAAUUAGAUUAGACAUUGUAUGAAUCUAUUGGAUAUCUUCAUUAUUUGUUAGUGAGUGAGAUUAGUCGCGCGUUGCAACGCGCAAAAUCUUCAUUCCUUAUUCGAAGAGGAGAGAUAGGAUGAUUCUUCAGAAUAGUAUUGUUGUAGAUAGAUAAAUAUUUUGCAUUGCUAUUUAAGUUUAAGUUCCUAGGUAUUAUUUUAUUCAAACGUUGGGAACUUGUAUAUGCGAAUUCGCUUGUGUUUGAGCCGUUUAUCCAACUUCGGAAAACUGUUUCUUAUGCAAAUCCUCUUGUCUUUCAAGAGGCAUACUUUGCUUGAGGACAAGCAAGAAUCUAGUUGGGAGAGUUGUUAGAUGCCAAAGUGCUUAUUUGAGCUAUCAUAUAUGUGGGCAUCUUUCACUCUUUUCCUGCUAAAUUGUCAAAAUCACAUUUAUUUACAUGGAAUGCGUACAUGAUAAACAAGCUUGGUGCCUUUGAUGUGUUUGUUAUUGUGCAGGAAAGGCAUGAAUAAUUGAUAAUAAAGACACAAGAAUUGGCAAAGAACCAAAGCAAAGGAGCAUUUCAUCUGCCAGCUCGCUAGGCGAGGAUGUGGCGAAGCAAAACCUUCGCUAGGCGAGCUCCUGGCGAAAGGCUCCAGUAAAUUGGUUAAUUAAUUCGCUAGGCGAACUGAAGGCGAAGUGGCAGCGAAUUCAGUCUGUUUUGGUGAAAAAAGCAGCCAGCACUAGCUCGCUAGGCGAGGCUCUAGCGAGUCCCCAGCGAGCAUUCCAGUAGCAAAACCUCUCAACCUCGCUGGCUGGGCGAGGUUGAAGCGAGUUCUUCGCUAGGCGAAGGUCUGUUCGCUAGGCGAACAUGACAGUUCCACAGGCCAGUUUUCUCUGGGCGCAGGGGCAUUUUGUGCCAUUUUUGGCCUUCGCUAGGCGAGCCAUUCUGCUCGCCUAGCGAACGUGACAGUUCUGCACUUGUCUAUAAGUAGCAGGUGCCACUUUUUGAGCCCAUACCACUUUUUACCAACUUUUCCAUAUUUUUGUACUUCUCUUAGUAUUUUACAGCAUUGUUUGGAGGGAUUUUUUUGAUGCCCUAAUUUCAUUUCUCUCAUCUAGCAACCAUCUUCCACAAAAAGAAGGUGGAUUCCCAUCCAACUUCGAUCAUUCGACUUGGAUGUUGAUCAACCCUCUUUUCUUACUUGCCGACCAAGCUACCAUGAAAAUGAGUAGCUAAGUCUUCCAUUUGUCAAGGUUAGAUGUAGGUGAUUUCCAAGCUUUGUGUGUAAAUGUAAGGAUCCUCAUUUGUAAACUCUUUAACGGUAAAUAUAUGAUGAAAACUUUGUUUCUAUUUAAAACUCUUUGUGUGGUAUUGAUCGAGAGAUGUUUACCGAUUCUUGACCUAGGUUUUCAUCCAAACUUGUUUGUUAGCUAGAGAUAGUAACGAAUGAUUUUUUCACCAUAAGGUUGAACAAAACGUUGUCUUUUUGAUAGAUUGUGUUCGAGAGAAACAAUGGAUCAAAAUGACAAAACUCACAAUGGGUUCGAGAGAAAACGCAUUGAGAGGACUUUGUGAAAUUAUUUAUCAUCUAAAGGAGUUUAUAAGAUUGUUGACCGAGCAAAUACAUGCAAAGCAAAUGUAAUCAUUGAAACCUAAUUUGACAAUAUUUCUCAUAUUAAUCAAAACAUAACUUUUACCGCAAUUAUUAGUAUUGUAUGCAAGAUAACUUGAUUAAAACCAAAACCCUAGUGUUACUUUAAGUUAAGAUUAAUUCAACCAUUGAACGGCAGUGAUAUCUUACAAUCUCUGUGGAUACGAUAACAAAACCCGACACUUAAAAACUGUCUCAACACCAUGGUAGCUGAUAAAAGCUAUAGAAGUAUAACCACAUUCAGGCGAUCUCUCAAUUCUUAGUUGCUCCACUUCAAGAAGCCUUCAAUGUUACAAACACUCUAACUCUAUCACUAAGAUUUUGAAUAAACUAUACAACUAACUAAAAACUAUUAAUACUGAUAUUAAAACACAGUGGUAAAACCUUUAUUUAUAUGUUUCAAAAGAUGUUCUCAUUUGCUUGGCAAGGUAUAAUUUACCAACGAAUUUUACUUUUGGGUUACUUAACACCAAAUUCGCUUUCAAACCACCUUGAUUAGCUUCCUUGAGUUCGUUGAGCGAGUUGUAAUUAUGCCCAGCAAAUUUGCCAUGUUUUCCAUCCCAACUCUCUAUUUUUUAUUCGAUGGUCGAGGAUUCAUUCAUCUAAUGAGUUUUCUUUGUAAUUCAGAUUAUUUUUUCACUGGUUCAAAUUCGUUGUUCGAAGAAUAAUUCUUCAAACAUACGUGGCUUUGCUUGAACUUCAUCUAGCUCGAAAUUUGGUCAUUUUUGUAGUGUUUGUCAAUCCCUUAACUUAAAAUAAUCAAAAGGUAAUAAAACAUGAUUAAUGCAUAUGAGAAUUUUUUAUGUUACUUCGGAUACAAAUAAAUUAAUAAUUGUGUGAAUAUAACAAUGAUAAACAAGUAAACUAUAUAUUUAUUAGUUAUUAGUUAUGUGUCCAUAGUUUAAAUUGUAUUGAAGUUCCCAUUGUUUAUUUUGUAACCUUAAAUAGGGGCAUUAGAUGGAUGUCUUGGGAGAAGUUAACCUGUACAAAGAGCGAGAGAGGUUUGGGUUUCCGAGACCUCAGAACUUUCAAUUUGGCUAUGGUGGAUAAACAUGGAUGACAUCUCUUGACAAAGCCUCAGUUCCUUGUUUCCAGAGUUCUUAAAGCAAGGUAUUACCCUAGAUCAUCUUUCAACCCGAGUUUUGUUUGGAGGAGCCUUUGGCAAUCUAGAAAGGUUUUAACUCUUGAUUGCAUGUGGAGUAUUGGAGAUGGAAGUAACAUUAUGGAAAUGAAUGCAUGUUGGCUUAGUGGUAAAGUAGAAGAUUUUUUGAAUGACCCUUGUAACACCCCAACUAAAAUAAGCUAAUUAUUUAAUUUAAAUUAAUAUUUUAUUUAUUAAUUUAAUUGAAUAAUUGGAAGUUGGAUUAAUAUUAUUAUUUUUGGGAAUAAUAAUUAUUGGGAUUAUUAUUAUUGGAUUAUUAUUUUAUAAUUAAUAAAGUGGAAAUCAGAAAAGGUCCAUGGGUAAAAAGUUUAUUGUUAUCAGUGGAAAGAAAAAAAGAGCACAGAACGUGGAAAAGGGCAAAAAGAGAACCAGAGAACAAGGGAUUGAAGGAGGAAAAGCUUGAAGCUCAGAAUUUGCCGAUAACUCAGGUAAGGGCGGUUUAUCGUUAUUAACGGGUAUUGUAUGACAAAUGUCAUGGUAGUGAUAGACCUUUAAUUUACUUUGAAUUGGUGAUUAUGAUGAAUUUGUGGAAAUAUUGAUGAACAAUUCGGGUGAUAAUCGAAAGAAAAUUCGUGAGAAUUGUAUGUGAUAAUGUCAGAGUUGUGAAAUCGGAAUAGAAUGAUACGGUUAGAUAAUAUGAGUAUUCUGUGUAAAUUUUACUGGAAGGUGAGACAAUAGAACUCGUAAGCAGGAAAAACCAUAGCAGAUCUGAAAUCUGGUUUCUGGUCAUACGCCGUAUGGGCAUAGGCAAUACGUAUGGAUGGUGUACGCGUAUGGCGCUAGGCAAUACGCGUAUGAGAGAGAUGAAAUUUGAACGUAAAAUGGUCUCAUGUGUACGCGAUGGAAUGAUACGCGUAGCAUACGCGUUAUGGAAUUGGCAAUACGCGUAUGGCUUGGUCAGAUUAGGCAAUACGCGUAUGACAUAGGCAAUACGCGUAGCAUGAUUCCUCGUGCUGUUGUGGCAGUUUUUGACUGUUCGGCUGAUAGUGAGACUUAGCUGAGUAGGAUUAAUAGGGAUCGUUUCUCGUGUUUUAGUUAGUAUAGUAUAGUAAGGUGCUAAUACAUGUUUUAUUUAUGGCAUGUGUAAUCUUUUGUGAUAAAUGUGUUGACAAGAUGUUGGGUGGUAUUGCUUUGAUACUGUAAAUGUAUCAUUAUGUAUGCAUUAGCGGAAUAGACUGUUUUAUGCGCUUAGAGUGUGAGCAUAUGUCUAUUCUUGAGUUGAUUGUUUUUGCAUUCUAGUGAUUAGCAUGCAUAGUUUAGCCUUUGGGGCUGUAACUAAUUCCCAUUGUAGAAUUAGUGAGUUGUGAUGCUUGUUAGUUUGCAUACUGAAUGAGUAGCGUGCAUAGUCUAGCUCGUCGUGUAGCUAAUUCCCAUGUGAGGAAUUAGUGAGUGAGUCACUAGAUCUCAAUGAGUGGGACUAGUGAGCUCAGUAGCCGUACCCAGAGGGAUCGUGAGCUUGAACUAUAUGUCGAGAACAGUCGGUACCGCAUGUCUAGAUUGCCAUAAUGAAUGCAUUGCAUAGCCGGUGGGCGCUAGCUAAUUCCCAUUGUGAGAAUUAGUGAGUAAAUCGUGGUGUUUGUUUUGGUAUGGAUAUGGGUUGAGAUUAUAUAUAUGAUAUUAUCUAUAUUUAUUACUGAGUAUGAUGCUGCGUUGAUACUCCUGCCUAUGGAGGUGUAGUCUCUGUCGGUGAUUUGAUCGCUCAUUUACUUAACAUUACAUAAUGUCAUAUAAUGCUGUUCUUUAUAUUGAUGAACUCACCUUACAUACUCUUUCAGGUAACGAGCAGUGAGUCGAUAGAAGCUAAUGAUGUGGAGUCUAGUAUCUCCUAGUGGUCAUGCUCUGAUAGAUGUAACAUCGGGGUGGGAUGUUUGAAUAUCUUUAUCGAUUGGUUGUACCAUUUGCAUGUAAUAUGUUACAUGUUUGGAAUAAUUGAAUUGAUUUCUAUCCGCUGCGAUUAUAGCAGAUACUUUUGUUUUGAAUUAAAUAAAUGGCAUACAGGACCUAUUUGUAUGGUUAUUGUUUGAUGACCGUGUGACACCCUCGCAUAAUUACUUCUGAUUAUUAUAGUUAUUAUUUUAAUUAUAUAUUUUGGGUAAGAAGGUUUACAUAGGGACAGAGCAUAGUCGUCGUGUCGAGCUAUAUUCUGUUCCCCUUGUAGGGAUAGCUUGUGAACCCUAUCAGUCUACUUUUCUUGUCUGGUUUCAGAAUAGAGAUGGCUGGAGAGUAGAGAUGAUGCUCAUUGCUGAGGCUCUGGUAUGCUAGCUGAGUACUUGGCAGGAUCCAAAUGUGUGAAUGGACUGCCAUGACCGUGAGUUCCAGAGACAAUCCUCCAAUGUUCAAGGAGCAUACGAUCAGAUUGCUCAGAAUGUGAAGGAAUUGAGAGAAUCUCAGAUAACUGCGUGUGCUGAUAACCAGAAGUCACGUUCGUCGCAUAUGCUUCAGAAAGAAGCUGACGAUGGUGCGUGCCCUACCCGCAGAGUUGAAACUGCUGGAGAUGCCUGAAGAUUUGCUGUGUUAGAGAGAAGUUCUGAGGAUACUUUUCCGGAGGAUGUCAAGGAAAGAAAAAUUCAGUUCUUGAAUGAACAGGGUACAGCCUUUACGGAAGUAUGCAUGCCCAAUUCACAGAGUCUCGAAGUAUACUACUCCCUAGCUGGGGCUGCCGGAAUUUCCAAGUGUCUGAAGUUUGAGAACGGCGUGCGUCCGCCGAGAUCAAGAAGCCAUUGAUAUCAAGGAUUAGAGUUUUCUUGAUCGGUUGACUGAUUGCAGGAUUUUGAACAGAUUCCAACCAGAGCUGAGACUAUCAGCAGAGGCGUUGAUAGGAAACGCCAAGAAUCAGAUUGAUCGCCCUGGCAAACCGUAUACACCUGGCAAAGGUUUCAGCAGGCCACGAGGAGAAAAGGCCUAGUGCGGGGAAUACUCUAGUGCCCUGUAAGUGUACGACUGUCGCCGGACCUGGACAUCUGUUCAUGAGUGUACCAAGUGCUGAGAUGAAGUGUUUUCAAGUGUGUGAAAAGAUGGCUCAUUGGCUGCAGAUGCGGUUGAAGACUGUGACUUGUUCAACUGUGGAGAGUUGGGUCAAUCAGUCCACAGACGUACAAUAGCCAAGAAAGAGAACAGUCAGGAGCAAGUUUUUCUUAUCGGCUUCUAGACUUCUGCCAGAUUGAUCGUUUAUCCCGGGUACGUUUAUAUUAAUGCUUUCCUCUGUAGCUAUUAUGACACAGGUGCGACUCAUUUUUAGAUCUUUGAUUGUGCUGGGAAACUUAAGUAGAGAUAUCUGAGAAUCUGUAGUAUGGAUUAACUCCCGCGAAGCGUUCAGUGACUACUACUUUUCUUUCGUUUAUUUCCCUUGAAUUUUUGGUAGUAGAGCCUUGGGAUAAUCUUGAGUGUCUUCCUUAGUGCAAUUGACGUUAUUCUGGUAUGAACUGGUUGUCAACGUCAGUUCUAUCAACUGUUUGAUAAGACUGUGAUAUCUUAGAUAAGAAGGAAAGAGUUGUUUCUAUCAGCCAGCAGUGAAUGAGGUAGGAAGUGGCAGAGGGGAGAUUUUUUACUUGAGCCGAACUUGGGAAGCUAAAGAUAAACUGGUAAAUUGCGAUCUAGCUGUAGUGCUGUUGAUUCUGAGGUGUUCCCGGAAUGAAUUCCACCCAGAACGUGAAGAUUAGCUCUCAUUGAUUUGGUACCUGGUACUAACCAAUAUCGAUCCCGUACUAUUUCCCGUUGAUAGCUAAUUGAAGAGCAAUUGGAAGAUCUGUUGCAUAAGAUUAUUCGUCCGAGUUCGUCACCGUGGGGUUCGCACCAGUGUUGUUGGUAAGAAGAAAGACGGGUAACUAUGAGUGUGUGUGGCACUACAGCAAUGAAUAAAGUGACGAUCAAGAAUCGGUACCUUACCGAGAGAUGAUGAUUUGAUGAUCAAUUCGUUGGUGCGGAGUUAGUUCAGGCAAGAUAGAUUUUGAGACUGGGUAUCAUCAAUACGUGUAAAACUGAUGAUAUUCAGAAGACUCUUCAGCAAGUAUGGGACAUAUGAGCUAUUCUGUGAUCCUUUGUGGGACUAAUGCGCCUGAGUAUUUAUCGAGCUACAUGAACUAGGAUUUUCCAUCCUACCCGGGACAGUUCAUGUGGUUUAUUGAUGACAUUUGUGUAAUCGAAAUCUGAAAAGGCAUGCCUGAGCAUUUAGAGAGUGGUUUAGAGCGUUCACGAAAAAGAAGUAUUGCUAAACUCCUAAUGUGAAUUUUGUUAGAAAGUUAGUUUUCUUGGUCAUUAUUUUCAAGAGUGGCGUUGCUGUUAUCCUUCUAAAUAGAAGCGGAUCUAAAUGAACUCCGAAGUCAGUUUCUGAAAUAAGAAAUUUUCUUUCGACUGGCCAGUUAUUAAGAAAUUUAUUGAGGGAUUUCUAAGUUGGCGUACCCGUUGACAUGUUGACUAAAAGGACAAGCGUUUGUUUGGGACCAAAAUGAUGAAGAAGGCUUCUCAAAUUUUAACAGAGAAGCUAGACUACUGCCUCCUAUUCUGAGAUUACCGAGUCUCGAUUAUUUGAAGUUAUUGUGAUGCUUCAUUGUUGGUAUCUAGGUGUGGUUCGUUAUGUGCAGAAUUAAGCAGGUGAAUAGCGUUAGCUUCGAGACAACUAAGGGUUCAUGAGAGGAACUAUCCGACAACCAUGAUCUUAGAUUGGCAGCUGUGGUAUUGUGUCUUGAAGUUGUCGACAUUAUUUGUAUGGUCAAGAUCUUGAAGUUUUCAGUGACCAUAAGAGUUAAAAGUAUUUGUAUCGAUCAGAAAAGCUGAAUAUGAGACAGAAAGAUGUUAGAGUUCUGAAAGAUAUGACCUUUAUGAAGUUACCAUCCGGGUAAAGCCAAAUUAGUGGCUGAUGCAUUGAUCGGGAAAUCAUUGCUACAUGUCUAUGUUAAUGGUUAAGAUUGGACUUAAUUAGGCAGUUUCGAGAUUUGAUUUGGUGUGUACAGAGUUACUCACAAUAGUAUUAAACUUGGCGAUGCUAAUGUUAACAAGUGGUAUUCUUGAGAUAGAUACAGAACGUCCAGAAAUCAUAUGCUUUUCGUUAUAAGUUGACUUUAGUGAAUCAAUGUCAAGUCGUUAAAUUCAAGUUGAAUGAGAAUGUGUUUUGAAUUGCGAUCAGGGUAUCCGGUUACACUUAAAGAAGAGUAUCCUGAGAAGGACAUCGUAGUGCUUGACCUCCUGGAGCUACGAAAAUAGUAUCUGAUUUGCAAAGUAUUUGUGCCCGGGGAAUGAAAAGAGAAAUUCGAGGUUUUGUUAUUCCUGUUGACUGGCGAAGUCAAAAUUGAGCAUCAGAAGCCGUCUGCUAAUCAACCGUGGCUAUUCCAGAGGUGAAUGGGAUAGUAUCAGUAUGGAUUUGUUGCUGCGUGUUGCCGAGGAAGCGACAAAUUAAGAAUUUUGAGCUAUUUGGUGAUUGUUAUAGAUUUGACGAGUCGGCUCAUUUUCAUCCGAUCAGAAUGGAUUACCUGUUAGACGAGUUGUGCUGAUUGUAUAUUUGAGAAGAUGUAGUUGCCCAUUCUGUAUUCAUCAGUUCUAUUGUUCGACAGAAUCCUAGAUUUACAAUCAACUAGUUUGCGGCAUGGAUGUGCAAAGAAGCUUUGGAACUACAGCUGAGAUGGAUUCUGCAAAUCACGCCGCAGAUCAUGGUCAGACUGAGAGGACGAUUCAGAUCAUUGAAGAUCUUUUGAGAGCUUGUAUCUUCGUCUNNNNNNNNNNNNNNNNNNNNNNNNNAUUGGUAUUCCAGAGUGGAAGUGGGAUAGUAUCAGUAUGGAUUUGUUGCUGGUUUGCCGAGGACAAAUAAGAAUUUUGAGGCUAUUGGUGAUUGUUGAUAGAUUGACGAAGCGGCUCUCAUUUCAUUCCGAUCAGAAUGGAUUAUCCGUUAGAGAGGUUGGCUGAGUUGUAUAUUGAGAAGAUUGUAAGUUUUGGCAUGGUAUUCGUCGAGUAUUGUUUCGCGACAGAGAUCCUAGAUUUACAUCAAAGUUUUGGGAUGGGUUGAAGAGAGCUUUGGGAACUAAGCUGAGAUUGCAGUUCUGCAUAUCACCGAGACUGCACGAUGAUGGUCAGACUGAGAGGACGAUUCAGUCAUUAGAAGAUUUUUUUGAGAGCUUGUGUUUGAAAAAGGAGGUGCUUGGAUUGUUAUUGCCUUUGACUUGAAUUUACCUACAACAAUAGUUUUCAUUCGAGCAUUGGUAUGGCACCGUUUGAAGCUUUGUACUGUAGGAGAGUCGGGACGCUUUAUGUUGGUAUGAGUCCGGUGAGAGUGCUGUGGUGACCGGAGAUUGUUCACAAACUACGGAAAAGAUUAAGAUGAUUCAGGAGAAGUAUGAGAAUUGCUUCAGAGUCGUCAGAAGAGUUAUCAUGAUAAAUGGAGGAGAGAGUCACUUGAAUUCCAAGAGGGAGAUCACGUGUUUCUUCGUGUUACGUCCGAUAACGUGCUUGGUCGAGCUUUGAAGUCGAAGAAGUUGACACCGCGAUUUAUUGGUCCUUAUCAGAUUUUGGAUGAGGAUAGGAGAGGUAGUCCUAUCGUAUCGCCUUACCACCGUCGCUUGCGAAUUUGCAUGAUGUUUUCAUGUGUCUCAGGUGAGGAGAUACAUUCAUGAUCCGUCGAUGUUGUCCAAGUAGAUCGAUGUACAGGUGAGAGAUAACCCUGACUGUUGAAACAUCACUCAUGAGAUGAGGAUCGAGACGUUGAACAGUUGCGGGGGUAAAGAGAUUUCCUUGGUGAGGUAGCUUGGGCGAGGACCAGCAGGUGGCAAUGGGACUUGGGAACUUGAGAGUCAGAUGAAGGAGUCUUAUCGGAGUUGUUCGCUUGAGGUAUUGUUUUCGAGGACGAAAACUCUUUUAGUGGGGGAGAGUUGCUAACCCCCAAUAAAAUAAGCUAAUUAUUUAAUCUUAAAUUUAAUUUUAUUAUUAAUUUAAUUGAAUAAUUCGGAAGUUGGAUAUUAAUAUUAUUAUUUUUAAGGAUUAAUUAUUGGAUUAUUAUUAUUGGAUUAUUAUUUUAUAAUUGGAAUAAAGUGGGAAAUCAGUAAAAAACGGUUCCAUGGUGGUAAAAAGGUUUAUUGUUUUCACAGUGGAAAGGAAAAAAGAGGCAGAACGUGGAAAGGGCAAAAAUAGAACCAGAGAACAAGGGAUUGAAGGGAGGAAAAGCUUGAACGUGCAGAAUUUGCCGGAUAACUCAGGUAAGGGGGUUUAUCGUUGAUUAACGGGUAUUGUAUGAUAUAUGUAUGGUAGUGAUAGACCUUUAAUUUACUUUGAAUUGGAUGAUUCUGAUGAUUUGUGGAAAUAUUGGCAUGAACGAAUUGGGGUGAUAAUCGAAGAAAUUCGGUAGGGAAUUGUAUGUGAUAAUGUCAGGAGUUGUGAAACGGAGAGAGAAUGAUACGGUUAGAUGAAUAUGAUGUUCUGUGAAAUUUUGACUGUGAAUGAGAUGAGAAUGAGAAUGUAGGCAGGAAAAAAACCAUAGCAGAUCUGAAAUCUGUCGUUUCGUGGUCAUACGCGGUAUGGCAGCUAGGCAAUAGCGCGUAUGGCUAUGGUGUGCGCGUAUGGCGCAGGCGAUAUCGCGUGAUGAGGAAGAUGGAAUUUUGAACGUAAAUGGUCUCGUGUGUACGCGUAUGGGAAUGAUACGCGUGAGCAUACGGUUAUGGAAUUGGACAAUACGCGUAUGCUUGGUCAGGAUUAGGCAAUACGCGUAUGAGCAUAGGGAUACGCGUGAUGGGCAGGGUUUGUGAUUUCCUGUGCUGUUGUCGUGCAGUUUUUGACUGUUCGGCUAAGUAGUGAGACUAUAGCUGUGGUAUGGAGUAAUAGGGACGUUUCUCGGUGUGUUGUUGAAGUAGUAUAGUAUUAGUAGAAUGUGCUAAUAACGUGUUUAUUAUGGCAUGUUGUGAUAUGCUUUUGUAGUAAAUGUGUUGACAGAUGUGUUGGGUGGUUACGCUUUGUACUGUAAAUGUAUCAGUUAAUGUAUGCAUUAGCGAAUAGACUGUUUUAUGGCUUUGAGUGUGAGCAUAUGUCUAUUCUUGAGUUAUGUGUUGUUGCAUUCUAGGUGAUUAGCAUGCAUAGUUUAGCCUUUGGGGCUGUAGCUAAUUCCAUUGUGAAGAAUUAGUGAGUUGUGGCUUGUUGUUGAUGUGCAUACUAGUGAGUAGCGUGCAUAGUCUAGCCUUCGGGGCUGUAGCUAUUCCCAUUGGUGAGGAAUUAGUGAGGGUGAGUCACUAGAUCUCAAUGAGUGGGAUACGUGAGCUCAGAGCCGUAUCCAGAGGGUCGCGUGAGCUUGAACUAUAUGCUCGAGAACAUCGGUACCGCAUGUGUAGCAGUCUCAUUGCAUAAUGAAUGAUGCAUAGCCGGGUGGGCGUGUAGCUAAUUCCCAUUGUUGAGGAAUUAGUGAGUAAAUCGUGGUGUUGGUUGUUGGUAUGAGUAUGGGUUGAGUUUAAUAUGAUAUUAUGCUAUAUGUUAUUACUGAGUAUGAUGUUGCGUUGAUACUUGCCGUUAUGGAGUGUGUAGUCUGGUCGGUGAUUUGAUGCGUCAUUUACUUAACAUUACAUAAUGUCGAUAUUACUGUCUGUUAUAUUGAUUGAGGAACUACCUUACAAUCUUUUUCAGGUAACGAGCAAGUGAGUCGAUGUAGAAGCUAAUGAUUGGAGCUAGUGUAGUCUCCUAUGAUGGGUCAUGCUCUGAUAGAUGUAACAUCGGGGUGGGAUGUUUGAAUAUUUAUCGAUUGGUUGUGAACCAUUUUGCAUGUAUAUGUUACAUGUUUGGAAUAAUUGAAUUGAUUUCUAUCCGCUGUAUUGAUGAGUACUUUCUUUAUGUUUUGAAUUAAAUAAAUGAGCAUGACAGGACCUAUUUGAUGGUUAUUGUUUGAUGACCGUGUGACACCCUUCGGGGCAUAAUUACUCUGAUUAUUAUAUGUUAUUAUUUUAAAUUAUUAUUAUUUUGGGGUAUUUAGAAGGGUGUUACAACCUUCAAGUUCAAGGUGCGUAUGCAAUUAUUGUUCAAAAUCUUUUAUUACCUAAUGUUAAAUAAUGGGAUGCUCAUGUAAUAAGAGGAUUGUUUGAUCAUGUAGUGGCUAAGGAAAUCCUCCAAGUCCCUUUAGUUGAGGAAGUGGUAGAGGAUAAGUGGACUUGGAAAGAAGAGAAAAUGGUUGUUAUAGUGUGAGAAUAGGUUAUAGACUAUGGAGGAAGAUCCAUAAGAACCCAGGGCAUAGAAGGGAGGAUGUGGAUUGGGAUAAAAUUUGAAAUAUCAAGGCUCCUCCUAUAAUUAAACAUCUUAUUUGGAGAAUCUAUUGGGCUUCCUACCGACUCGUUUGAGACUCCGCCAACAUCAUGUCUAGUGCUCAUCGGAAUGUCAGUUUUGUGAGAAUGUGGUAGAAGACGACUGGCAUGUGUUCUUUGGUUGUGAUGUUACUAGUCUUUGUUGGCGGGAAGCAGGUUUUUCGAAUAUUAUUGAACCCAAUUUACUUUCCUUUGAUGAUCGUAAAUCUUUUAUUCUUGAUAUUUGUAGUCACGAGGAUAUAAGAAUUGCGGGUAGAGUUGCGGUGAUGUUGGAUGUCAUUGGGAAGAAUAGAAAUAACUUGAUUUGGAAUAAUGAACAAGAGGAAGGAUCUAAAUUUGGCAUACUUACCUUUUGGAAUUGGUAAGAUUGGUUUAAUGCUCAAGAGAGUCAUGACAACAAUGAUACUCAUCAUUCCCUAAUCUCCUGGUGCCCACCUGAUGUAGGGAAUGGGAAGUGCAACGUAGAUGCAAUUUUUAACAUUAACCGCAGAACUACGAAUCGGGGGUGGUGUAUGAGAGAUAACUUUGGUAGAUUUGUUUAUGCAGAUGUUGCUUGGAAUUAUAGUCUCCAUUCCGUGAUAGAAGCAGAAGUCUUGACCCUCAAAUAGGCAAUCCGUGGAGUUAUUGCAAUGCAAUGUUAUCUUCGAAAGUGACUCCCAAAGAGUGAUCCAAGUUAUUCAAUCCAAUACCAGCGGUUUUUCUGAGUUUAGUUUAAUUAUUUAGUCCAUUCAGAAUUUGUUUCUCUUUUAUCCCAACUUUGAGGUAAAGUUUAUUAAGCGCCAAACAAAUAUGGUUGUCCAUUUCUUAACGAAGACGAUUGAUUCUUAAUCUAGACGGAAUGUUAUUAAUUUAAUUCCUCGUUGUAUUGAAUAUUUUUUUAUGAAUGAAAUUCGUUAAAAUAUUUUUUGUAAAAAGAAAAAUUCAAAUAAAAUAGUAAAUGCAUAAAAUGAUACGUCAUAAAGUAUGGUAGUAUGAAUCUAGCAAUAGUAAAGAACAAAAGUUUUCAACAUCACAAAAUAUACAAAGAUCCACCAUGUGUAAUGUAUGCAUAUUGGUAGUCACGUGCAGCCUUUGGUAGUUAAAAGGACCAGAUGGAGUAGAAGACGGUGGACCAGGUCGUGCAGAAGACGGUGGACUUUAUUGAUCGUGCAAAAUAUGACUGUUCAGUGGGGAUUUAGUGCAUCGCUGUAUUUGCAUUAUUAUACAAAAAUUAUAGUCUCAGCUCACCCACCUAUAUGUGUGGUUUAGUUUAUGGUUACGUUACAUCUACAUCCAUCUUUUAUUAAUCAACAAAUAGGAUAUCAAUUUCUUACUGUUUGUUAAAUUUUUUUACGUAAGACUUAAAAAUAUUAGAAUGAAACGAUAAGAUACCAUUUAAAUUUGAGCAUGCUGAAAAAAUUAGUAGAUUAGUAUAAUUCACUCCUAGGAAGUAGGAACUCUAAACACGUGGAAUUCUAAUAACUUUAAUUAAGAACACAUACUACUUUGUAAUCUAUAAUCCCCUAUAUUAGAACUCAAUCAAAGUAUUCAAGCUUAUACCAUGAGAACUACUACACUGCUAAACCAUAACAGAAGAAAUGAAGAAGAUAAAGCAAAGCAGUGUGAUAUUAAUGCAUAGCAGUUAACUAUUACAAUGCUUUGAUUUAUAUACAUCAGAUAUUAACACCUAAGAGCAAGGUUAACCUUACUCUAUAUCUAUUUUACACUAAUUCCUAUAAUGGUUCAGUUGUUAGUUAGGAUGAAAUCCAUGUAAUUCCAAAACAAGCAAAGAAACAUAAUAAAAACUUAUAAUUAGGAUAAGUAGUUUUUUUUGAAAAAUUAUUAAAUAGUUUUGAGGCAUAAUCAAGAAAUAUCUCUAAAACUGGUCCAACAAUUCUUAACUACUAGAUAAAUCAUUAGAGAAACUAAGUGAAAUAUCCUUAUUGAACCAUAUAAAUCAGGUGUAGUUAAAAAGUUCAACAGACAAAAAAAUUGAACCAAGCGCCCAUGUAAUCAAUCUAAGAAUAGUAUUGUGGAGUAAAGGUUCUAGAAAAAGAUUUUAAUUUUGAGGGAGGUUAUUUCCAAUCAGAAGGAAAUAAUACCUUAUUAAUUUUGAAUUUAGAGAACAUAAUUUUAUAUUUAUCAUAGAAUUUUUUGAUCUUGGUUUGAUCUUUAGGAAUGAAGAAAAAUCUUAGGGGGGAAAUUCUCAAAAUAUUUUAUAAUAACGAGGAGUUUGGAGGACAGUAAAGUGUUUCUAAAGGUAAUAUUGUUAUAGACAAAUCUUUGGUAAUAAAGGUCGAUUUUGGUAAGGAAGAAGGAGGUGUAUAAUAGACUAAUUUAGAUGGAUAGUUUUUUUGAUAGAUAAUGGACUGAUAAUUUGAGAGAUAAAAGCUACUAGAGUUAAUAAAGUAGGCUUAAUAGUGGUCACGGGAGUAGCAGUAAUCGCACAGUUAACUUUGAAAAUAAAAGAUGGAGAACCUAAAAUUAUUUCUUUAUCUUUUUUAUCUUUAAUGGACGAACUAUAAUCAUCUUUGGGGUCAACUAUUUUUUUACUCAUGUUUUUCCUGUAAAAAUUCUCUGGUUAGAAAAUCUGGUAAUGAAUUUUUAAUUCUUUGAAUAUGCUCGAUUUUAAAAUCAAAACAAGAAAGUAAUGUUUGUCAUCUAACAAAUAUAUGUUUUGAAACUAAAUUUUUAACAUCUUUUUACAAAAUAUUUUGUGCAACUUUGCAAUAUGUUUUUAAUAAAAAUGUUUUUGAAAACAAGUCAUCUUGAAAUUUUGUAAUACACAAAACAAUAGAGAAAUUUUCUUUUUUAAUAGUAUUAUAGUUUAAUUGAGCUGGGUUCCAAGUUCUAGAAUAAUAUCUGACAACUUGUUCUUUUUCCAUGUCUGGAAGUAUUUGUUUUAAAACUCCUCCAAAGUCUAUGUCUGAGACAUCAGUUUUUCAACAAUAAGAUUGGCUCUAGGAUCAAGUAUUCCUAAACAGGAUAACUUUUUAACUAUUUGUUUUAAUUUCAAAACACUUUUGGUCAUUGAAUCAUCCCAAAAAGAAGGAUUCUUCCUAAGUCUCUUGAAUAAUGGUAUACAAAUGGUUCUUAAGUUGGAUAUGAAGUCAGCCACAUAACUUAUACAACCUAAGGAUCUUUGCAAUUGGGUUUUAUCCUUUAUUUCGUCUGAAAAUUUAUUAAUAAAUUCCAAAGACCUACUAAUGGGGGUAUACAUACCUUGGAAAAUAUCAAAACUCAAAAAUAUUAUUUUAAAUUGAAAUAUUUUAAGUUUCUUUUCAGACUAGACUAACUCAUUCUCUUUAAUUAUCUCAUAAAAUUGGUUCAUAUGUUGUAUAUGUUGGUUUAUAGAAUCUGAAAAUACUAAUAUGUCAUCUAAAUAGUCUAUGGUGAAGUGAGAGUAAUCAUUAAAUAUAGUGUUCAUAAUAUUUUGAAACUCAUAAGGAGUAUUUUUUAAUCCUAAUGGCAUGACAUUCCAUUCAUAGUGAUCAAAUGGCACCACAAAAACGGUUUUAUAUUUAUCUUCUUCUUUUAAUUGUAUUUGAUGAUAUCUAAAUUUAAGAUCAAAAUUUAAAAAUAUACUUUUAUUAUGGAAUAUGUUUAUCAAAUAUUUUUUUAUUAUGUAUGGGAUACCUAAUCCAUUGUAAUGCUUUGUUUAAAGGUUUGUAACUUAUUAUUAACUGAGGACUUCCUCUUCCUAGCUCAGAAGCAUUAAUAACAUAAGAAAAGGAGCAACUCCAAAGAGACUUACUAGACCUAAUCAAUCCCUUGUCCAAAAAAUCUUUUUUUUUACAGUAAUUUAAAUGUUGUUUAUUCAUUGUAUUAAUCUGGCUUCAAUAGGGAUAUUUUAUUCCUUAAAGUCAGGUUCAUAAGGUAAAGAGAUAGUGUGCAUUUUUCUUUUCCAUUAAGCAUCCGGUUAAUCUGAACAAAGAUCUUUAUAAAUUUAUUUUGUAUAUCUUUAAUUUUUUCUUGAAUACUUGGAUAUUGAAGUUGAUCUUCUAUCUUUUUAUAGUGUAUUUCCUUAUUAAUAAAAUUAAUUUGUUUUCUUUUAUUAUUAAUUUGAUUAAUAAAUGAUAUAGCCUUAUUCUGGACAGAGUUAAGAUCUCUAAUCUUAAGCGGUUCUAAGAAUUCAAAUUUAACUUCAUACUCUAAAGCAUUAGUGGUUAUAGUUGCAUUAUUAACUGUGAAAGUGUAAAGUAAAGCUAAAAAAAGGGAUCCUAAUAUAAUGGACUCAUGAAUAUUUCUUACUAAAAGAAAAUAUGUUAUAUAACAAAUUUGAUCUUUACAUAUUUUAACACUUGAUAAUAUGUAAGAAACUUAUAAUUUAUUAUCAUUGGCUCCUCUUAAGGAUUCUUUGAUUUUUUCAUAAUAUUGGAUUGGGUGCUCCUGAAUCAAUCAAAGCAAUCAAUUCAUAAGUUUUAUGUUUAACAAUGAGAUUUAUUUCACUAUGUUAUUUGUGGGAUAUUAAGUUUUCUAUUUUGUUAAUAUAGUCAUCUUCAUUAUUCAAAACAAUAGUUUCCUCAUUAUUUUUGAUUGAGCUAAAUGAGGCUAAUUUUUUAUUGGCUUGAUUCUGAAUUAUCAUGUUUCCUUGUAACUCUAAAAGUUUAAUUUCUAUCUCAUAAUCCCAGAUUUUUAGAGUUCUAAUUUCAUUUUUUAAAUUACUAAUUUCUUCUUGCAACACUACGCCAAAUAAAGGAAAAGAGGGCGCUUUUUUUGGCCUAUAACAGCGCUUUAAAGCGCCCUCUAAUCUGGCGCUGGCAUAGGUAAAGACAGCGCUUUUUUUCCUGGUGAAAGCGCUCUCUAAAGUGGAAACUUUUAAGGGUUUAGAGGGCGCUUUUACUGGAAAGCGCCCUCUAAAGUGGAAACCUUUAAGGGUUUAGAGGGCGCUUUUACUGGAAAGCGCCCUCUAAAGUGGAAAUUUAAAGGGUUUAAGAGGGCGCUUAUUUUGGAAAGCGCCUCUAAAAGUGGGUGGUUUAUUUAACAUUUACAUGCAUCACAUGUCUUUGUGACCAUAUUCUCAUUUCAGGUUAUGUUGCAAGCCACAAGAGGUAACCAGAAGAAAAUGACAUAAACUGCUUGUUAUAAUUCCAAGAGCAACUAAAGGUCUUUUUUGCUUUAUAAUAUUAAAAUACAAAUACUGAUAUAUGCUUAUUUUUUAUAUGAUCCCUCUUGCUAUUUGAAAUGUCAUGAACCGAAACCACUGCUACUCUAAUUGAAAUGUAUAAUAACCACUCUCUUUCAUUUAUUUGUUUAUAAUCAAUCAAUUACAACAAAAAUGCAAGUAUGCUGCUAGAUUAGAAAAUCACAUUGUUUUGGUCUUUUUCAUAUUUAAUAAGACCAAAGAGCACAAAAAUGAAUUGAGUUGAUUCAGAAAAAAAAAUAUGAAUGGAAUACAUGAGUGAAACACUAGCUGAAGUGCUACUCGAAAGGAAACUUCAUCUGAAAAACUGUUGUAUUUCUUCAAGAGUUUUUCCCUUUGUCUCGGGGACCCAAAUGGCAAUAAAUCCUGCUGUGAAAACACACACUGCAGUAUAUAUUGUGAAGGUUCCUGAUAAAAACAUAGGAAGCUUCUGGUUAGAAACAAUAGAUAUUUAUAGAAAAUUAACAUAGGCAAUGCACACAAACCUCCCGAACUCCAAUCCAAGAGCAAAUUUGUUGUUAAUGUAACCAACCAGGAAAAGAACCAAUUGGCAAGUGUUGCAAAACUUCCAGCUAGGCCUUUGAUGUUAAUCGGAAGAAUCUAUUAUGUAAAAUAUAUUCAACACAAUCAACUAUCACAUUAUAUUACAACAAAGGUUUGUUCAUAUAGGGUUGUCAUGCAUAUUAUUUUGAAGAAAAUUGUACCUCAGACAUUAUAAUCCAUGGCAUUGCUCCUAAUCCCAGAGAGAAUGCAAUAACCAUGACCUGAAAGAAAUUGAAAGUUUAUAUAAUGAAGUUAGGAAACAAACAAUAGAAACCAUCAUUUGUGUAAUAAAGUUGUAUUUACACACCACAACUCCAGCCACGGUACGAGGCUCAAUGUCGCAUAUAAAUCAGAAUCUGGUGAUAUAUAUUCCUGAGAGCAAUUCAACAUAAAAUAUAUUAUCCAUAUAAAAAACCAAAAUAUAAAGAGAAUUUACUGAUAUAUAAUCCUGUGAAUCUGUGUUACAAAUUUCUGAACAUUUAUGCAUGAAUGCAUGUGUAAUAUCUAGUUAAUGUAUUAUGUAUAUAUAAAAAUAACAAAAAAAAUAUUCAAAAAUAUAACAAACAAAAAAUUAUUAUUACUUCAAGUAGAAUGAUAUUGAAACAACCAAAAGACUCAAAGUCAUUGCAGAUGAAGAAACCUGCAAUAGGAGAUUUUGAUUAAUCCUUAUUAUCCUCCAAACAAAUAGUAAUGUGAAUGCAAAAAUUAUCGAAAAAGCUCAGACUCAAAAUAAGUAAAGCCGGCGACCAGAUUUGUCUGCUAACCACAAAGUUAAAAUCGUAGCAAGAACCUAAAUGACAUGUAAAUAUUUGUCAGAUUAUGGUCUGAUAAAUUGGAACGUUACAAAUUUAGUUUCCUUUUCGGUCGAACCUGAACAGCACCGACUCCAAAUGUUGCUACAUCACUCGAAACAUGCGUCUAAAUCUCGGAAUAACAGGAAAAUACACAAGACUUUUGCUGGAGACAACUUGUUCUUAUAUCGCGAGACCGCAUUUAGGACACUCAUUUAACGAUGCAUACUCAUUUCGAAACAAACGCAUCGUUUGGACAUGCAUGUAUCUUAUCUAGCUCAUGCCAAUAGAGCACAAUAAUGCCUAGUCUCCAUUGCUAGCAUUGCAACACAAUAAUUAUUGUGAGAAUACUCAAUAAAUGUAUGAACCAGAAAAUGAAACCAAAAAUGAACAAUAGCGAACGUCAGAAGAGAAACCAAGUAAUAUGAAGAUUAGAAAAAUACCUAUGGUGUCAAAAUCGAACAGCUAACAACGAAUUAAUAGAAGGAGGAAACGUCGUAGAUCUAACAGAGGUGGAAGGAGAACGCCUUAGAAGUAGCGAAAAUCGUAGCAGUGAGAACCCUAACGUGAAAAAGAACGAAAAACAGAGAGUGAAAUAACAAACGCGCAGUAUGUUAUAAUUUUAAUGUUUACUAAAGGGGAACCUUAGAGGGCGCUUGUGGAAAAAAGCGCCCUCUAAAGGGGGCCUAAGAGGGCGCUUAUGAAAGCGCUCUCUAAGGCUUUCCAAAGCGCUUUUAUAAACUGGAAAUGCACAUGGACUUAUAGAGCGCUUUUUUAAAAGCGCCCUCUAAGGGUAACCUUAGAGGGCGCUUUCUAAAAAGCGCCCUGUAUUGUUGUCCCUCUAUCUCCUCCUUAUUUUUUCGCUUCACCUUAGAGGGCGCUUUAUUACAAAAGGCGCCCUCUAAAGUGCGCUGUCUAUUCCAGUUGUUCGCUCCUUAUUUUUUCGCUUCACUUUAGAGUGCGUUUUUGUAAUAAAGCGCCCUCUAAGGUGCGCUGUCUAUUCCAGUUUUUGGCGUAGUGUAAAUCUUUAGAAACAGUUUUUUCAACUGGUUUCUUAAAUAAAUUCAUAAUAAUUUUAAACUCUACUUUGUGAAUAUGCUUUUUACAAAUAUCAUUUUCAUCUAUAAUAUUUUUAAUUUGUCUCACGAAAGCAUUCUUACUUUAUGAAUUUUCCAUUUUGUCUAAUAUUCCUAUCAACGUAUUAGUUUGAUUAUUUGUUAAAACAUUAAUUAUUUUGUUAUAGAGAUUAAUUACUAUGCACUGUCAGUGUAAAAAGAUUUACACUGUCGAUUCAUCACCAUCACUCGUUUGCAUUACUUUAGAGAUUUUUAAAAUAAAAGUCAAACUUAUUUUAAUAUCCAACGUCUAGGAUUAACUGACAGUGUAAAAUCAUUUUACGCUGUCAGUGUAUUUCAAUUAAAUCUUUUGUUAUAAUUGUCACAAAUGCAUAAAUUUAGACCUAAACAUUCAUCAGAAUCCGAAUCUGAUUUUUCAAAAUUAUUAAUUUUAUGUAUUUUCUCGUAAGAAGAUUCUUCAAAGGAUGAAGAAUUUUCUUCCUCUUAGUUCAACAAGAUAUUUUUUUAAGUAGUUAUUAAGCUUUCAUUUAAUACUUCUUGUAAGGUUUUUCAUAAAAUUCUGAAUUGUCCUUGUGAGAUUCUUUUCUUAUGAUAAUGGAAGUUCUUUCUUUCUUUACUAAUAGUUUUUUUAUUCUUGGGGUUACUCUAAACUCUUAAAGGAAUAGCUUCAUAUUGCUCGCAAAAUGAUCCCAUUUCGCACCUAAUACUAACCUUUUCAUUUUUAAUCUUAUUUUAUAAUUUAUAAUUUGUACAAAUUUGUAUAUUUGUUUUAAUUAAAUAAUUAGAUAAUUCUCCUAUGGUUAGUGAUUGAUAAGGGAUUGUUCCAUUCAAAUUUUGUUUAAUAUUAAUUUUUACCUUUUCUACAAAUAACCUAGGUAAAUCACUAAUAAAUAUUUUUUACCAAUAAUCUGCAGCACCAUCUGACCUAAGACAAAGUUUGGAUAAGAAUAUAUCUCUAUACCAUCUAUAAUCAGACAUGGUUGAACAAUAAAGGUUUAGCAAUUGAUAUGUUGCUCUUUGUUGGAGUUUUAGAGGUUCUCCUACAAAGAACUUAGUAAUCGCAUAUAAGAGAGUUGAAACACAAAUCUCUUCAUUAGAUUUUGUUUUUACAGCUGAAUCUAUUUGAUAUUUAUCUUCUGGACUAAGGAGAUUAUCCCACAUCCUUUUAACUGUCAUGUAAACCCCAUAACUAAUAUCUCUUUAGUAUGUUUGUCUGUAUUUUCUUUGAGUUUAAAGGCAGUAGCAGUCAUAGUCAUGUUUUAUAUUAUAUAUAAAACUUGUUGUUUAGAUGCAUCAUCGAUGUUCCACUCGACAAUGGACUCUCCUGAAUAAUUACUUUCUAUAAAAAAAACUAUUUUUUUCUUCAAAUUGCACAUCAACAAAUGAAGGACUAGGAUACUAGUUUCGGGUUUUAGAUCUUGGGGAUCUAUCGCCUAAUUUGUUCACCAUAUUACCAUAUUCUUCAUCUCGAGAUAAAGUAUUUAUCUCUUCAGAAGAAAUUUCUAUGUUUAAGGUUUUUAAUUUAGUAAGUAAUUCCUCAAUUUUAUGAUUAGUAUCAUGAUCUAAACUCAUUCUUUUCCACUCUUGGUUAGAAGGAGUAUGUUAUUGAUAAAUAGGUCGCAUAGGAUCUAAUUUAUAGUCUUAACAUCUUUAGAUUGAGGGAUAGCAUUUUCUAUCCUAUCUAAGUAUUGCGACAUAGUGUGAGGUAUUUUGUUUGAAUGACUUAUCUGAUUAUACAGAUUAUUAAUAUUUUUUCUCUAAUCUAUAGAAUUAAUUAUAUAUUUAUAUAUAUUUAAAUGGUGAAGUUUCUAUUUAUAUAUUUUUUAGAAAUUAUCAUUUUAAUAACUUUAAGGUGAAUGAACUGAGUCUAUAAUUUCUUCCUAGAAGUUUUCUAUUUGAUACUUAUCCUAAUAUUAAUAUCCAAAUACAGCAGAAGGUUUUCUAUCCCUUCUUCUAAACACAAAAUAAUUUAUCAUGAACUUUCCAUUGCCGCCUUAAAAAUACACAUCACAUGUGAGCCGUGACCGAUGAAUAAAGAAAAGAUAAUAUUUACUAUUAUAAUUUCGAGAAUUGGCUUGAAAUUUGUUCACGUAUGUGAGGGUUUAGGAAGUUGUGUAGUUUAUAAUUUGUUUUUGUUGCAAAAUUGUAUAAAAUAUUUUACAGAUAAAAAGAUAGAAAGAUACUCGUUAUGUUACUUUUAAAAACUCUCAACAAUCGGUAUUAAAUAUUUUCGAUCAAGUUGUAGAUAUUUCUUUCCUCUUGUCAAGCUUUAUUAAAUUAGUUAAGAAAGGUAUUAUCAUUAUUAUUUUUACUUAAAAUAAUAUAAAAUAGUCUAUCUUAUCACUUUGCAUGGGACCAUAUGAUAUACAAUAUGUUGUGUAAGAAACUUAAAACAUCAUUCAUUCAAUCUUAUAUAAAGAACAAGUCCAUACAUAUCAAAAUCAUAAAUUUAUUCAAGGUUUUGUCAUUUACAAUAAGCCAUGUUAGUUUCUACAACAACACUUUGUGCACUCUUUUUCUUCCUAUUCAUCAUCUUCAAAUUCCACCAUAGAAAAAAAUGUUGCAAAUAUCCCAUUUUUAGAGAAUAUCCUUUUCUAGGCAUGUUACCAACAAUCCUUUGGAACUUAUGGAAUAUUCAUGAUUUCAUAACUGAGGCACUGAAAAAGCACCAUAGAGGCACUGCUGAGUUCAUGGGACCUUGGUUUACCAACAUGAACUAUUUGGUCACUAGUGAUCCCAUCAACGUGCAUCACAUGAUGAGCAAGUGUUUCGAUAACUACGUGAAAGGUUCUGAGUUUCGUGAUAUUUUUGAAGCAUUCGGAGAUGGAAUAUUUGUCGCGGAUUCGGAGACAUGGAAAUAUAACAGAUCUCUUUUUCACUCGGUUUUCAAGCAAAGAGGCUUUGAACUUUUUCAAGAGAAAAUCAUUAAAAACAAGCUGGAGAGAAGCUUGAUUCCUGUGUUGGAUCAUGUUCAACAACAAGGGUCGGUGGUGGAUUUACAAGAUGUAUUCAGUCGUUUCACAUUCGACAACAUUUGUUCGGUAGUUCUCGGAUGUGAUCCGAAUUGUCUUUCCAUUGAAUUUCCUGAGAUUGCUUGUGAGAAGGCUUUUGACCAAAUUGAAGAAUGCAUAUUCUAUAGACAUGCUAUUCCAAAAAGUUUUUGGAUGUUUCAGAAGCUUCUUCAAGUUGGUCAAGAGAAAAAAAUGACAAAAGCAUAUAAAGAAUUUGAUCAAUUUAUAUAUGCUAAUAUAGAGUCCAAAAGAGAGGAUUUAAAAAAAGGUAUAAAAAAUAUUGAAAUGGAAGACUUGUUAACAACUUUCAUGAAAGUAGAGAAGGGGUCACAAGUAGUAGUUCAUGAUGACAAGUUUCUAAGAGAUGUUGCUUUCAAUCUCUUUGUAGCCGGAAGAGAUACAAUAACUUCAGCACUCACAUGGCUGUUUUAUCUUAUUGCUACACAUCCUUUAGUAGAAGCUAAAAUUCUUCAAGAGAUUAAAGAAAAUUUUGGAGGUAUUAAUAUUGAAAAAAAGUUAGGAGUUGAUGAGGUGAAAAAGCUAGUUUAUCUUCAUGGUGCUAUAUGUGAGGCUGUGAGGCUUUUUCCUCCUAUACCUUUUGAGAGAAAGCAAGCAAUAAAAGAUGAUAUACUUCCAAAGGAGUUGAUGAGGUGAAAAAGCUAGUUUAUCUUCAUGGUGCUAUAUGUGAGGCUGUGAGGCUUUUUCCUCCUAUACCUUUUGAGAGAAAGCAAGCAAUAAAAGAUGAUAUACUUCCAAGUGGCCACGUUGUUAAUCCUAAUACAACUAUAUUAUUUUCUUUGUAUUCAAUGGGGAGAGUUGAAGAGACAUGGGGAAAAGAUUGCUUGGAGUUCAAGCCAGAGAGAUGGAUAUCUGAGAGAGGAGGGAUUGUUCAUGAACCAUCUUAUAAGUUCAUUAGUUUCAAUGCUGGAC